CUUGAUUAACUUGUCAUUAAAAACAUGCUCUCUUUUAAUUUGAUUUCAAGAGAAUCAUGAUAUUUUAAAUUACACAGAAGAAAAUGAUUGUCAUUCAUAAUCAGAUGAAUCAAACCAAAGACUUUCUAAGUUUUUUUUUAUUUAUAAUGUGUAAUGUCCCAUUUUUGCCUGGCUCGAAAUGAACCCAGAAACAUAAAUUAAAAAUCAAAAGUCCAAUGUUCGUUUACAAAUAUUUAGGCUUAAACCAAACCAAACCUAAACAUUAAAUUCAAAUCACUAACCCAAUACCCAAAUUAAUACCCUAGCCCAAACCUACUACAAGCCCAAAUCUAGACCCAAAGGUUCAAGGCCCAAAAUUCCUUAGCAAUAGAAACCCUAGGGUUCUCUUCCUCGCGCCGCAGCCAAGCCCCAGCCCUCGCUCCGUACGACCGCCACGCGCGCCUCCUUACGCCAGCACACAGCCCCCGUACUCGCGCCACGCACACCCCGUACCUGCAAAAACGACGAACGCACAGAAAAAAAAAACAAAUAUUGUAUUUUUUAUUUAUUUUUAAUCAUUUCUAUCUCUUCGGCUAUAUAGCCAAGAGAUUUCAUCAUUUGUAAGGUUACGGAGGCAAUAUACGCACAAAGAAUAAUAAAAAAAAAAGCAAUCAAAAUAGCAGAGGUGAUUUCUUUGUUCUCCGAAUCGCUUUAGCUUUCAAUGAACCAUUUCGUUUUCUCAUUGAGUUAUUGGUUGUUGUUUUUGUUAAAAAAAUAAAAAGAACAAGAUAGUAGAGGGCUUACCUUGCGAAUAGGCCACAAAUCUCUUUUUUGCUUCGUUGAAAUCGAAGCCAAAAGGGGGAUCUCAAGGCUGAAAAACCACCUCCCCUAAAGCCCGAAUACGCUGGUCGCCGACUGUGGUGGCGGAUCGGCGUUUGCACAAAAGGGGAUUAGAGUUCGGCCGAAUGAGAGGGGAAGGGGAGAGCUUUAGGACUUGUUGGGUUCCUUUUCAAAUGGCUAAUAGUUAACUUAGGUUUUUUUUUUUAAUUUUGUUUUAUGAAGCAUAUGAAACGACGCCGUCCAAAGGGGGGAAGGAUCCGUGUGUUGACCCGAUGGGUAGGCCGGAUCCGCGUUUUUUGUUUGAAAGGGUUAAUUGCGCGCUAGGUCCUCUCCCUUUGCGCGGUCGUUCAAUCGCAUGGUAUUUUUUUAAAAUUUUUCCUGUAAUUAGCGCGUGUUUACAAUAAGGCCCGCGUUUCAACACUGCGUUUUGGGGUAUGGAUUAUUUCCAGAUUUGGUCCCUGCGCAUUAGCACAUGUUGCGCGCUGGUCCUUAUUUUGGGAUUUCUUCCAUUUUCAAACUAUCCCUCUUAUUUUAAUUCAAUUUUAAUUUAUUCUUCUAUUAGUAUAACCUAUUAUUUUACAAUAUAUUUAACGUUUAUACAUGUGUUGAUUCACUUUAAUAUUCGUACAAUAUUUCUUUAAAUAUUCUAUAUAUAUUUGUACAUGUAUUAUUUUAAUUAAAGUUUGUAAUUUGUAAUGUUCAUUACGUUAAAGUGCUUAAUAUUUUAUAUGUGUGUUGGGCUAUUUCAAUAACUUUAUUUUGUUUUUUUUUUAAUAUAAAAUCACCAUUUUGUAGUUCAUUUUUAUACCAUAUUAUUUUAAAUAUUUAUAUCACAUUUGUUCAAAUUUUUCAUGUAUAUUUGUACAUGUAUAAUAAAAAUAAUUCAAUUCUAUGUACAUAUUUAGUCCCAUGCUAAAUUAUUUUAUGAACUCUUUUAAAUUUUUCUCUAUAUAUAUAUUUUUACGUACAUAAGUCAUUCUUUAAGAACAUAUUUUACUAAAUAUUGUUUUGAUUUAAAAUCUCACAUUUAAAUACUUUUUUAUAUGUAUAUACAUUUGUCAACUUUAAAUGGAUACAUCAUCUUUAAAAUGUUUUUGUACAUUAUUUGACUCAAAUUUCCUCUUUUAUAAUAUCUAUUUCAAUAAUAAGUUAUGUAUAUACUUAGUUUUUAUAUAUAUAAAUUAUUUCAAAUUUUGCAUGUGUUAUUCACUUAUGAUUUUUUAUAUGUAGUUUUUAUAUCGAUUCGCCUCAUAGUAGUUCUUAAUUUCUAUAUUGUUUUGUAUGUUGAUAUUUUUUUAUAUAUUAUUCCAUAGAUUGUUGUUGCAUAUCAUUUAUUCGUUUUUUUAUUACUAUGUCAAUUUAUUCUCCAUACAUGUUUGGAAAUUGGGCUAUAUUUUUUUAGACUAAUUAUAUUUAAUUGUUUAUGUACAUACCCAAUUUUGCCAAACCCAAAUACAUUUCAAACCCUUACUAAUCCAAACCUGUUUACAAUAUUUUCAGCCCAAUUAGCCUAACCCAAGUACUACUAGCCCAAUACCCUAAAUUAACCUAGCCCAGCAGCCCAAAACAAAUCAGCAGAGAGGAAACCCUAAUUCCACUUGCCCCCUACUUGCGCCGCACGCCCUUCUGCCCUUGGCUACCACGCCCCACUUUCACACUAGCACCAUCCUUGGUCACUCCCAUACCGUCUGCCACCGCAUGCUUCUCCUCCACUUCCCUGACACCUCCAUACCCUGCAAAGACAGAAGCAAACCAAACAGAAUAGGACAAAAAAUAAAUAAUAUUUUCCUAGUUUUGUAGUCGGCUAUAAAGCCGAGAAAUAAACAUUUGUAAAAGGGGGAUUCGAAAAAAAAGAAUCAAAUUUAACCAUUUCGGAAUAACAAUAUCAGCAAUAGAUUCAAACAACAAAUAGCAUACAUCGAAUACAAAAAGCUGAGGAAAAUACAAAAAAAGGGAAACAAGGAACGAAAACAUAAAUCGGAAGGUGAUUUUGUUUUUUAUUUUUUCUUUAUUAUCUUUUUAAAUCCAAUUUUUUUCUUCUUUUCUUCCUCAUUUCUAGCAUAUAUAUACACAUAUAUUCGAAAAAAUAAAAAAAAAAGUAAAUUUUUACCUUUUUCGGUGACCGGCAGACCUCCGGCGGCCGUCCGGUGACCGGCCCGUGGCCGGAGCUCUCCCCUUUCCCCUCUCUUCCUUCUCCCCUCUCUCCCUUCUUUCUUUUUUUUUUCUUUCAGCUGUUUCAAAUGAAAAAAAAUAAAAAAAAUUUAACUUAUAUAGGGGACCAAAACGGUGCGUUUUGGUCCCCCCCUUUUAACCAAUAAAACGACGCCGUUUCAGGAGUGGGUCGGGUCGACCCGACCCGCCCCAGCAAGGAUCCGCGUGUUUUUAAAAGCGGAAGGGCUAUUUGUGCAAUCGGCCCUUCCACAUUUUCAAUAUUUUAAAUCAAGUUCGGUUUUAAUUAUAAUUUGGCCCUGUUGUUUUGCUCCGCGUUCGAUUUGGUCCCCCUUUGCUACGUAGUGUUUUAAUAAACGGGGAUAUCGCGCUCUUGGCCCCUCAAUGUUUAGUGCGCGUUCGAAUUAGUCCCCUUCUUCUAUUUUUCAUUCCGAAUUCGCCCCAAAUUUCAUUUUUAAUUCGAAUUUAGUCCUUUUUUGAAAAAUUUAAGUUGUUUUAUAUUACCUUCAUUGUUUUACUGUAUUUUAGAUAUUAUUUGUGUUAUAUCUAUUACUAUAUUUUAUUAACAUCAUCAAUAUUUUGUUAUUAUUAUUAUAUGAUAUUUAGUUACAUAUAUGUGUAUAAUUACUUUAAAAUGUCACAUUUUUACUAUUACAUAUAUAUAUAUAUGUAUUUACUAUUAUUAUUAUAUUCAUUAUUAAUGUUAUUGAUUUUCACUUAGUAUUUAUACAUGUUUCUUCAUGUAUGUAUUUAUAUAAUGUACGGAUGCUUUUCUUUUUUCAUAUUAUUAUUUUAAUAUAUAUAUUAUAUUUGUGUAUAUUAUUAUAUAUAUUUUUAAUGUUAUGUAUUGUAUAUUUCUUACUGCUCAUAUACUUUUAUGUCGUUGUAUGUAUAUUUUUUAUUAUUAGUUAUGUUUUUUUUAUAUAUACUAUUUCAUGUAUGUAUUUUUUAUAUGUUAUCCUUAUUAUUUGUAUUGAUAUUAGUAUAUGUUUAUAUAUAUAUCUUUAAUAUAUAUAUAUAGGUAUAUAUUUAUGUAACAUUAUUAAUAUUCGUUUUCCACAUUAUUAUGAUAUAUAUUAUGUAAAUAUUUUAACAUUAUAUUAUAUAUGUAUUUAUAUAUAUUACGUAUGUACAUAUACCUUUUAAUAUUAUAUUUUUAUAUUAUGUAAAUAUUAUUUUAAAUACUGUAUUGUAUAUAUAUAUCCUUAGUACCACGUUACAUAUAUAUUGUGUAUAUACUUAUUUUCUUACCCCUAUUAUAUUCAUUGUUAAUACAUUUAUUUUUUUUAUACAUGUAUACAUACCCUUUUUGUAAUAUUAUUUUUUACACAUAUAUGUAUAUAUUUUAUUUUAUUGUUGCUAGUUAUGUACUUUUUUACUAUCUUAUACGUACUUCAAACACUAUACGUAUAGUAUAUUUCUAACACUACUACUAUUUAUAUAUAUUUUUUACGUAUAUACUAUUUUUUACACAUAUAUGUAUAUAUUUUAUUAUGUCUUGCAUUCUCUUGAAAAUUACGUUCCGGUUUUCUAAUUAAUUUCAAUAGUCAAGGCAAUAUAUCGAUUUAACAUUAAGUCAUCAAGUUCAUCGCUAUGUUGGGUGAAUGUCAAUUGACUCGUGUUAAAGCGAUAUACCCUUCUCAAAAAACGGAAUAAACUAAAAUUUCUCGUUUUUUAAUCGGAUCACGACUAAAUUUUACAUUGAACCCGUAUUUUUGAAAAUCAAGACAACCUGUGUUUAUGAGAUACCAAUUUUUGGGCGUCGCGAGGGUGCUAAUACCUUUCUCGCGCGUAACCGACUCCCGAACCCUAAUUUUUCUCUGGCUUUUAAUGUAGACCUAAACUCAGCCUUUUAUUUGUUUUAAAAGAAGUCUAACAGGUGUCCGGUCACACCUAAUAAAAAGGAUCGGUGGCGACUCCCUGUUUAUUUUAAAAAUCAAAUUUUAGCUUCCAAGUUUUCAAUAGAUGGCCACAAUUAGCGACCGAAACCAAACGAAUCUUUACGUCGCUACAGCUGGCGACUCCGCUGGGGACAAAACUUGCAAGUCGAGUCGAAUUAAACACAUUUUGUCAAAAUUUUCAAAUUUCUUUGUUCAAAGUAAAUAUUUGGUCGUGAUUCGAAAAUCUCGUUUUCAAAAUUCAUGCAUUUGUAUCGUGUUGUAAAUAUUUCUUCUAACUUGUUAUUUGGUUGUUUUUCAGUUUUCAAUUUUUAUGGUUUUAAUUUUGGUUUAGUUUCUUUAAGUAAAACGUAAAGGUUUAUGAGUUUUUCCCCACACACCGUGCACUUGCAUUUUCGCAUAACAUGAGUUCUUUACCCGGGCUCCGUCCGUUUAAGUGAAAGUAAACGCUACGCCUUUGUGAGUUAACUCGUCCCUCCGCACAGGCUAGUGAAUACUUUCGGGUUACAUAUGACUUAUGCUUUCGUGAGUUAACUUGUCCCUCCGCAUAGGCAUAAGUAAAUGUAAUUCCUCGAAUUGAACUCGUGAGCCUGUGAUGGGUUAUGACCGAGGCUUCGUGCUGAUCUUAGCAGAUGAUAGUACGAGCAAUUCGAGUACCUGUCUAGAAUCGAGACUGCAUAUAAUGAACCAUACGAGCUAUCCAAUUAGAGUCAUGCCGAACCUCUGUCCGCUUAUAGUCACCAAAAUAAGUACACGGGGAAAAUGCCUUUUGCCUUUCAUUUACACUGUUUAUGCAAAAUAAUUGGAUUGGGUAGUUUAAUUUGUUUUUCAAAUUAUAUUUGUUGUGUUUACUAACCAAGUUUGUUUGUUUUUAUUUUUAUUUUCAUCAUGCAUCAUAGGCAUCAUAUUAGGAAGGUGUUGAUUAAAGGUUGGUUGCCAAAAAACGGGUUUCUGAUGGAGGAGUCAAUUACACAAAUAACCGAGAAGAAUGCCGUGGUUCGGGACUAGUCUCUAAAAACUCAGAGAGAAAAGGGGGAUAGUCUAGUGGAAGGGUGUGUUGCCAAUUUGCUCGAACAUAUAACUGUAAAUGUUCGCCAAAAUAACCUUGAGGAUUUGGUUCGAAUUUGGAAUCAGUGGGAUUCAGACACUAGAGAUAUUUUCACUGAGAGGUAUGGAGAUAUAGCUUACCUGAUCACCAUCCGUGUAGAUGAACAGGUGAUUCAAGCCAUGGUUCGAUUCUGGGACCCAGCUUAUCAGUGUUUCACCUUCAAUCAAGAAGACAUGACUCCAACCAUAGAAGAGUAUGCUGCUUUACUCCGCAUCGACAAUGUACAAUUCAAAAAAAUAUAUGUAAAGGAGCCUAAGCCGAUGACCUUCAAAAAAAAGUUAGUGAGACUGACAGACAUGACUGAUUCAUGGGCUGAAAAACAGAUAAAGAAGAAGAAUGAAACCAUUUGCAUUCCAUGGUCCUCCCUACGAGAUUUGGCUCUGAACCAUCCCGACAUGCUGAAAAGGGUAAAUCUAUUCGCUUUGGCCAUUUAUGGUUUGGUCAUUUUCCCAAAAGUUCUCGGACAUCUCGAAGUUGCAGUAGUUGAUUUCUUCGAAAGGUUAAAACAAGGAGUCAACCCUGUCCCGACUAUCCUAGCCGAGACCUUCAGGUCUCUGAGUACUUGUCGAAAGGUUGGAAAGGGACGAUUUAGUGGAUGUGCUCAGUUGCUCAAUGUUUGGAUUUUGAGUCAUUUUUGGAAAGUAGAGCGCACUCCGUUCCAUAUGUUUUCAAAAAUAUUUGCCCCGCUAGAAGCUUACCUCAAGAAAGAAUGGCCGAAGGAAGUCACCGAGCAACAUUGGGUAUCAGUCUUUCAGAAUCUUCGCGCUGAGGAUAUAACAUGGAGAGCACCCUGGAUCCGUCCUUCAGUUCUGCUAUACAAAUGUGGAAGCCAAGAUUGGGUACCUUUACUUGGGUUAUGGGGAGGAUUUGGAUAUGCUCCGCUAUUGGUCCAAAGGCAAUUUUCUUCGUGACAAUUUCUACCCGCAACUGGAGGAUUAGCACAGUUCGAGUUCGCUUUCGCGGGUGAAGGAUAUAUGAAGAAAGUCCGAGACACUGCAAAGUCUUGGAAGGAAAUUUAUUUCAUGGAAUUAGCCUUGUAUGCUGAUACCCUUACCCAAGAUUACGACAUAUGGAGGAAGCAACGGGUAAAUAGUCAGCAAAUCUCGUCAACAAACUACACCAUCUAGAAUCCUUUCUCGGAUGAAACGCCGUCUGAGCUAGAAAUGGCAAGACAAGAAUUUGAACGAGAAAAGGCCAAGAUGUCUCGGGACCUUAGUGCCCUUCAAGAAAAAAACUAUCAACUGAAGAUUGAAGUUCAGGUUGAAAGGUCCAGAACUGAAAAAGUACAAAGAGAAGCCGAGAUCGUGAGAAACAACUUAAGGGACCUUCAUUUGGAAAACAAGAAAUUAAGAAACACUAUAAAGAAUAGUGGGUUGGGCAAGUCGACAGCAGAGUGGAAGGAAUAAAUUAGCAAUAUCAAGGUAGGAAUGAAAUUUUGGAAGGGAAAAGCAAAGAAAGAGGAGGAAAAGGCUGCGCGCGCUGUGAUAGAGUUAAGAAGGAAUAACGCCGAGUAUGAAAUGGUGACUGCAGAAUUUGCGAAUAGUCAGUCUGAACAUCAAGAAUUAAAAAGGAAAGCACGAGAUCUAGAAAAUAUGCUACAAUCUCGUCAACAACAAUUAGAUAACCUCCUAAAGGCUCUAAAAGAAAAGAAUGAUCAGUACGAUAGGGACAUUCAUGCGUAUGAAGGAACUCUCAAAGAAAAAGAAAUGCAACUCGACUUCUUGAUCAAUGAAAUUCGCAAAGCGACUAUGCAAGUUGUUCAAUUAUCAGAUGAAGCCGAAGUUCUCAGUUACCAAUUCCCUCCGAGCCAAAGAUCGAGCAUAUCAGAGUUUUUAGAGCAAGUGAAGAAAUAAGGCAAUGUGGCUAGGAAAUUUGUGUAACUGUUGGAAAAAUGGAAACUUUUUGUAAUAGACUAUGUUGAUAAAUGAAAUGCCUAAAUAUGGGGCUAUCUUGAAAUCAACACCAAAUUCUUGCAUGUUUACUCAUAACUAACAUUUAUGCAUCAUUUAUUCUUUGGACAUUCAUCCAUUCAUAUACUCAUUCAUUCAUUCAUCACGUGUACAUAUCACCAUAAUCAUCCACCGAAACUAAAGAACCGUAUAAUCCGCAGUUGCAAGACUUUAAAUCUGGAACCACGUCAUUCCUAUAAAACGCGCCGACAAGCUAGAGUAAUGGAAGCUGAAUUCAAUGAGAGAAUUGAAAGGAUGAAAAGGGCUCAAAAGGAAUUACAAGAGCAACUGGCCAAAUCACAACAAGAGACGAGAGACCUAAUGGUGAGAUCUCGAGAGGAAUCACUCGAGCAAAGAGAUCAGAUGGCUAAAAUGAUGGAGAUGAUGACAACUUUAGUCAAAGGAAAAAUGCAGAACCCCGAUGUUAUGGAACCUCAGUCAAGAAUUCACCACGAUCAGGAUCCACUCUAUCCCCCAGGAUUCACUCCACCGCCCGCAUAUACAACACAAAUAGGGUAUACUCAAGGGGAACCCACAGGCUUGGAACAUCGACCUAUGCCACCUGCUCCACCCACUAAUUUGGGGCAAGGAAUAUUCACGUCGAACCCAGGGGCUAGUCCUGCUGAUCCACUAGUUCCAGAUCUGGAUGACCCAGCAGAGGUAUCCAAGUUGAAAUUGGAUAACCAUGACGCAAAAUAUAGAAGUCUAGAGGAAAGACUCAAAGCAAUAGAAGGCACUGAAGUCUUCUCUGCACUAGGUGCCAAGGAACUCAGUUUGGUACCUGAUCUAAUUUUGCCUCCGAAGUUCAAAGUGUCUGAUUUUGAGAAGUAUGAUGGGACAAUGUGCCCAAAAGCACAUCUCAUUAUGUUCUGUCGAAAAAUAACCGGUUAUGUGAACGAGGAUAAACUACUCAUAAAUUGCUUUCAAGAUAGUCUAACAGGGUCAGCUCUUCGGUGGUACAAUCAACUUAGUAGAGAAAAGAUUCGAUCCUGGAAGGACUUGGCGUCAGCAUUUUGCGAGCAGUACAAGCAUGUAUCAGAUAUGGUGCUAGACCGUAUGACCUUGCAAAUGAUGGAGAAAAAGCCAUCAGAGACUUUUAGACAGUAUGCGCAGAGAUGGAGAGACGACUCAGCUCAAGUGGAACCCCACUAACAAAAACGGAGAUAACCGUUCUCUUUAUCAAUACUUUAAAGGCACCGUUUUAUGACAAAUUAGUGGGAAGUGCCACGAAGGAUUUCGCGGAUAUUGUAAUAUCCGGUGAACUCAUAGAGAAUGCCGUUAAGAGCGGUAGAAUGGAAGGAUCAGAAGGCUCAAGAAAAGUAGCACCCGUAAGGAAGAAAGAGCCAGAAGCCCACAUGGUGGGAACUGGGAGUCGUUACAUUCCCAAUUCGUAUCCUAACCAACCCCGACCUCGAAAUUAUCCACCCCUGAAUUUCUAUUAUCCCCCUCAAACCCCUUACAACCAAGCACCACAUCCGUCCUACCCCGUAUACGCCACGAACAACCAAAGACCCGUCACCACUUUCCCACAAAACACGGUACCUGCCCAAAGCCAACUCAGAAAUGAACUAAGACCAGCAAGGCAUAAUUCCGAGAGACCGCAAUUUACCCUCAUCCCUGUGUCGUAUGGGGAAUUGUACCCAAAACUUUUGGAAAAACAGCUAAUUUUUCCCCAUUACAUAGCACCCCUUAAACCUCCAUACCCAAAGUGGUACGAUCCAAACGCUAGUUGUGCAUACCACGCAGGGAACCAGGGGCAUUCUACUGAGAACUAUCUUGCUUUCAAAAGGAGAGUUCAAUGACUCAUUAACGCGGGUAUCCUACGAUUCGAUAGUGCUAGUAACGCCACCGGGAACCCGUUCCCGAACCAUACCGAAGGGAAUGUGAGCACAGUGGGGAAAGAGGAUGAAUGGAAGGUCAGAAGAUGUGUUUCAGAAAUAAGGACGCCUUUGCAGAAAAUCUGGGAGGUAUUGGUUAAGAAAGGAUUGCUCUGUCACUCUGAUAGAAUUUUUGGAGAAGAAGGUCAAAGUUUUUGCAAUUUUCUUGGGAUUGUUGGACAUGACAUUCAGUCAUGUGAGGAUUUUAAAAGGUUACUUCAAGACCGGAUGGAUAAUAAGGAGAUCAAGGUCCUUAACAAGAGGGAAGAUGCCAACGAAAGAGAAGUAUGCGUCUCUGAUAGCCAAUCAUCAGGGCCCCCUUAUAGUGCUGAUCGACCGUUGGUAAUUCAUUACGACGCGAUGAGAGAGCCAUUAAAACUACAGAUGGUAAUUGAAGUACCGUCGCCUUUCCCGUAUAAGGACAACAAAACAGUACCGUGGAGAUAUGAUGUUAAUAUCAUUACACUGAAAGUUGAAAAGUCCAAAGCCAUAACUGAAGAUGUUGGGGAGGUAGGUCAUUUUACUCGAAGUGGACGAUGCUAUUCUAAAGAAGUUGAACCGGUAAAGAAAAGUAGCGACUCGAAGCAAAAAGGGAAAACAAUGAUGCACGAAGUCGAAGUCGAGCAAGAAAUUCCACCCGUGCAAGAAACUAAAAAGCCUGUGAAUGAGGAAGAAGCUCAAGAAUUCUUAAAAUUUAUUAAGCACAGUGAGUAUAGUGUGGUGGAACAAUUGAGCAAGCAGCCAGCGCGAAUCUCGGUUCUAUCUCUACUGUUAAAUUCAAAGCCACACCGGAAUACUUUAUUGAAGGUGUUAAAUCAAGCUUAUGUGGCCAACAACAUAUCUGUCGAAAAGCUUGAUAGGUGGGUAAACAAUCUGAAUACGGACAAUUUCAUCUCUUUUAGUGAUGAUGAGAUGCCGCCAAAUGGUAGAGGCUUGGUGAAAGCGCUGCAUAUCACGACUCGUUGUAAGGGAUACAUAAUACCAAACGUACUCAUCGAUAAUGGGUCAGCGUUAAAUGUUAUGCCAUUGGCCACGCUUUCUAGAAUACCGAUGGAUUUGUCCUACUUAAGGCCCUGUCAUUCCACGGUAAGGGCAUUCGAUGGGACGAGGUGCGAAGUCAUGGAAAAGAUCGAAAUCCCUUUGGAAGUGGGCCCUUACAUUUAUGAUGUCGAGUUCCAAGUCAUGGACAUUACACCCUCUUAUAACUGCCUUUUGGGAAGACCUUGGAUCUAUUCUGCUGGAGCAGUCCCAUCAUCCCUCCAUCAAAAGGUGAAAUUUAUCAUGGAUGGCUGUUUGGUCACAGUCGAGGGCGAAGAAGAUAUUGUCGCAUCUAUCUUUGCUGAUGCCCCAUACCUGGAAGUAAACAAGGACGUAGUGGAAUGUUCCUUUCGAUCUCUUAAAUUCGUCAAUGCCACUUUCGUCGCUGAGGGAAACAGAAUGCCGAUGCCAAAACUGUCGAGAAAUACCAGAAUGGGUGUCAAGUUGACCGUAGGAAGGGGAGCUCGUACGAUAAGAGGUUUAGGGAGACAUCUGCAAGGAAUAGAUAGGGCUUUAAAGCCAGUACACCACAAGGCCCGAUAUGAUUUGGGGUUCCAGCCUGACAUGCGUCAAAGAAGAAGACAGUGGAAGAAGGAUCAAGAGAGAAGAAUUACAAGAACUUUGGGCCGAGAACCAGAAUGGGAACCAAUAGAGUACCCUCCUUUGUCAAAAACAUUUACAUCUGUGGGAAUGAUGUACCCUGGACAAGAUGAUCCACGAAACAUGCUGGGGUUAAUUGAAAGGGGUUUUCAGAAUGUCAGUAUAAAUGUCAUUGACAAAGGGGCUGGUGCAAGUAAAGAUGUCUCGAGGAUACGCCCUUGCCCUCCUGGUUUCAUGUUGAACAAUUGGACUGCCGAGGAGCUUCUUGUAGUUUAUAAGUCUUCAGAGUAAUGCUAAACAUUAACCUUCUAUUGUGUCCUUAGAUAUAAUAGAAUUCUUUUGUAAGAGCUUGUAUUUUCUCUUUAUCAUUUAAAUGAAUAUCAAUGAAGAUGCAUUUUUUCACGAUUUUUCGCAUUAUCACUAAUUUCAUAAUCAUUUUCUCAUUUCAUAGCCUAUCCUUACAUUUGCCUCAUUGCCAUGACAUAACAUUUUGUUUGUUGUUUCCAAUACUUGGAUGUCCCUCUAUAGCUUCCUUUUCCAUUCAACUUUCAGGUGCUCAGAUAUUGACGACAUGAAUAAGCCCGUUACGAAUCUUGAAAUUGAUUUUGAGAAGGCUGUUUGCUUAGGAGAAUUUGAAGCCGAAGAAAAUACUGAAAAUUAUGUCUCGUCUCCUGAAUUGUUAAGAAUGGUGGAACAAGAGGAUAAACAGAUUUUGCCUCAUGAAGAAUCUGUGGAAACAAUAAAUUUGGGCACUGAAGAGAGGAAACAAGAAGUGAAGAUUGGGACUUCUAUUUCAGAGAAUACCAGACAUAGUUUGAUCACUUUACUCCGCGAAUACAAAGAUGUUUUCGCAUGGUCAUACCAGGACAUGCCAGGGCUAGAUGAAGAUUUAGUGGUCCAUAAGCUCCCAUUAAAGCCAGAAUACAAGCCCAUCCAGCAAAAAUUAUGACGGAUGAGACCUGAAAUACUGUUGAAAAUAAAAGAGGACGUCAAUAAGCAAUUUGACGCUGGCUUCCUACAAGCCUCCAAAUAUCCAGAAUGGGUGGCUAACAUAGUCCCGGUACCAAAGAAAGAUGGCAAAGUACGAAUGUACGUGGAUUACUGUGACCUGAAUCGAGCAAGCCCAAAGGAUAAUUUUCUCUUGCCACAUAUUGACACGUUGGUGGACAACACAGCAAAACAUUCAUUAUUUUCUUUCAUGGAUGGAUUCUCGGGGUAUAAUCAGAUCAAUAUGGCCCCUGAGGAUAUGGAGAAAACUACAUUCAUAACAAUGUGGGGAAUGUUCUGCUACAAGGUAAUGCCAUUCGGGUUAAAGAAUGCUGGGGCAACAUAUCAGAGGGCUAUGGUAACGUUAUUCCAUGACAUGAUGCAUAAAGAAAUAGAGGUCUACGUCAACGACAUGAUUGCUAAAUCCCGAGGGGAAGAAGAGCAUGUAGUGCACCUCAAGAAAUUGUUCGAAAGGCUGAGAAAGUUUCAGCUAAAGCUUAAUCCAGCCAAAUGUACAUUUGGGGCUACCCCAGGAAAGUUGCUAGGCUUCAUUGUCAGUGAAAGAGGUAUCGAAGUUGAUCCAGAUAAAAUAAAAGCCAUCCAAGAAUUACCACCUCCGCGCACGCAAAAGGAAGUUAGAGGAUUUUUAGGGAGAUUAAACUACAUCGCCCGAUUUAUCGCUCAACUUACCAACCAAUGCGACCCAAUCUUUCGGCUUCUUCGAAAACAUAACCCGAGAGAAUGGAACGAUGAAUGCCAGGUGGCCUUUGAUAAGAUAAAACAAUAUUUGUCUAGUCCUCCAGUGUUAGUACCGCCAACUCCUGGAAGACCAUUGAUAUUGUAUUUGAAUGUGUUCGAAAGUUCAAUGGGUUGCAUACUGGGGCAACACGACGAGUCAGGAAAGAAAGAAAAAGCGAUCUACUACCUCAGCAAAAAGUUUACUGAAUAUGAGGCAAAAUAUUCGUCCAUUGAGAAAUAUUGUUGAGCUCUGGUUUGGGUAGCUCGGAGACUCAGACAAUAUAUGUUGUAUCAGAUGACAUGGCUAAUUUCAAAGCUGGACCCAAUAAAAUACAUGAUGGAAUCGCCGGCACUAUCAGGAAGAAUGGCACGAUGGCAGAUCCUCCUUUCGGAAUAUGACAUUGCCUAUGUAAGUCAGAAGUCGAUAAAAGGGAGCGCAAUAGCUGACUUCUUAGCAACUCGAACGACAGAGGAAUAUGAGUCUUUAAGAUUCGAUUUCCCAGACGAAGACUUAAUGUGCAUCACAGAAAUAGAAUUCGAGUCAUCAAAAGAGAAGUCAUGGAAGAUGUGCUUUGAUGGUGCGUCGAAUGCUCUAGGGCAUGGAAUUAGAGCAAUCCUAGUAUCACCAGACGGGAAUCAUUAUCCGUUCACCGCAAGACUGAACUUCUUCUAUACCAAUAAUAUCGCAGAAUAUGAGGCCUGUAUCAUGGGGCUUCGUGCAGCUAUCGAACGAAACAUCGAGAUCUUGGAGGUGUACGGGGACUCAGCCCUAGUGAUUUACCAAAUCCGUGGAAAGUGGGAAGUGAGGGACUCAAAAUUGAUUAAGUACAUUGAUUUAGUGGCUGGAUUGAUCAAGGAAUUUAAAGAAAUAACUUUUCAUUACUUCCCACGAGAAGAGAACCAACUGGCUGAUGCCCUGGCCACUUUGGCUUCAAUGUUCAAAGCAAGUAAAGAAGCAGAAAUAAUGCCCCUCAAAAUGAGCAUAUACGAGGUCCCUGCGCACUGUUGUAGCAUUGAGAAAGCGGUAGACGGACGGCCAUGGUUCCAUGAUAUCUUAGAAUAUAUCAAGAAUCAAAGCUAUCCCGAACAAGCAAAUGAGAACGACAAAAGAACAAUCAGAAGAAUGGCAGCGGGAUUUGUUCUUGAUGGGGAUAUCCUGUAUAAAAGAGGAAAGGAUCAAGUACUUUUGAGAUGCGUGGAUGAUGUUGAAGCCAGAAAGAUACUUGAAGAUGUCCAUGAAGGAAUCAGUGGGACACAUGCCAAUGGUUUCAGUAUGGCCAGAAAGAUUAUAAGACUUGGUUACUACUGGUUGAUGAUGGAAAGCGACUGCAUUAGUUUUGCCAGAAAAUGCCACAAAUGUCAAAUCUACGGCGAUAAAAUUCAUGUAGCCCCUUCGCCCCUUCACGUCAUGACUUCUCCGUGGCCUUUUUCUAUGUGGGGCAUGGAUGUCAUAGGGCCUAUUUUCCCGAAAGCUUCUAAUGGACAUUGAUUCAUUUUUGUGGUCAUUGAUUACUUCACAAAAUGGAUAGAAGCCGCUUCGUUUGCCAAUGUGACCAAGACUGCAGUUUGUAGGUUUUUGAAGAAGGAAAUCAUUUGUCGAUAUAGUUUGCCUGAAAGAAUCAUUUCAGAUAACGUCAUGAAUCUAAAUAACAAGAUGAUGAAGGAAGUAUGCGAGCAAUUCCAAAUAAAGCAUCAUAACUCCUCGCCCUAUCGCCCAAAGAUGAACGGGACUGUUGAAGCAGCCAAUAAAAAUAUUAAGAGGAUCAUUGGGAAAAUGACUGAGACGUUUAAAGAUUGGCACGAGAAGCUUCCAUUUACUUUGUUUGCAUAUCGCACAUCUGUACGAACAUCUACGGGAGCAACUCCUUUCUCUCUGGUUUAUGGAAUGGAAGCUGUGCUACCUAUCGAGGUUGAGAUCCCUUCUCUACGAGUCUUAAUGGACUCAAAGUUAGAAGAAGCAGAAUGGGUACAAGCUCGAUAUGAUCAGCUGAACCUCAUUGAAGAAAAGCGUCUCAGGGCAAUUUGUCACGGGCAGAUGUACCAAAAAAGAAUGAUAGCAGCCCAUGACAAGAAGGUACGACCAAGAGAAUUCCAUGAAGGAGAACUCGUGCUGAGAAAAGUUCUCCCAAUACAAAAAGAUCUGCGAGGGAAAUGGGCACCAAACUGGGAAGGACCGUACGUCGUAAAGAAGGCAUUCUCAGGAGGAGCUUUGAUCCUUACCGAGAUGGAUGGGAAAGAGUUGUCGAAUCCAGUGAACUCAGAUGCUGUGAAGAAAUAUUAUGCUUAAGAUGAAAACCCGAAAAGGGCAUUUUAAUAAUAAUAAUAAUAAAAGGGAUCAAGGCGAAAACCCGAAAAGGGCGUCUUGAUUAGUACAAAAAGAUUAGGAUAAAAACCCGAGAGGGCGUCCUAAUGAAACAAACCUGGCGGUCGAACGAUAGGUCAAGCAGUGAAGCUACAGUAUUUGAAGUAUUUCUGAAAGCUCGAAAUCUUCUACGCAAGAAGCCGCGCUCUAAAAGAUUUUUGAUUAAGGAACGAGGAAGAGUUCAUGUGUUGAAUAUCUAGAGCAUUUGUAUCCGUUGAAUACGAUCAUUUCUUUCUUUUUGACAUUUUUUACUCUCAUUGUUUAACUUGUUUUGUUUGCCACAUUUGAAAUAGAUGAACAUGAAAUAUCAUUUUUGUCCCUAUUUGACCUUUUUCAUGCAUCUCAUUAUUUACAUGGUAAAUGGUGAAAUGACAUACUCUAAACAAAAGAAAUGUUAAGCAUUACCUAGAUGAAAAUUUAAUAAGCAUAAGAGUCUCAAAAUAAGAACAAAGUUUAAUCGGGGGCAGAAGAGUGAUAUCUGAGAAACGUCGAUUACUCGUAAAGCUUGAAGACGGGUACGAGGCCUGAAGAGAAAGUCGAGAAUCAAAGCAAAGAACGCAGAUCCUCAACAAUCAUGGCGAAAAGAACAUACGACAAAUAUGCUUAAGGAGCACUGCAUAAUCAUGUAGGCAUAAAGGCAUUUAAGACAAACAUGUGCACAUCAUGAUGACAUCAUGCAUGGCAUAUACAGGUAAUCCAGUAAAGCAAGAGGAUGUGAUGAUAGCUGUACUGAAUCAAAGGAAAAGACACCUGAGUUCUACCAAAUGACAGGUUUUGGUAUUUUGAUAUUUUUACUUCUGCUUUCAGAAAUCAACUCAUAUUGCGAGAGGUGAGUUGAGCCUUGGCUCGCAUGACGAGGUAUUUUCAUUUUUUGCUUUUUUUAAUUCAUGUUUUCAGAAAAUCAACUCAUAUUGCGAGAGGUGAGUUGAGCCUCAAGACACGUUGAGUAAUUUCAAUUUAUGCUUCAAAAAAUCAACUCAUAUUGCGAGAAGUGAGUUGAGCCUCGGGGCACGCCGAGGUAUUUUCAAAUUCUCUUGUUCAAAUCCUGUCUUUAAUUUUUACUUUUCCAAAAUCAACUCAUAUUGCGAGAGGUGAGUUGAGCCUCAAGACACGUUAAGGUAAUUUCAAUUUAUGGUUCAAAAAUCAACUCAUAUUGCGAGAGGUGAGUUGAGCCUCGGGGCACGCUGAGGUAUUUUCAAUUUCUACUUUCCAAUUCCUGUUUUUCAAAAAUCAACUCAUAUUGCGAGAGGUAAGUUGAGCCUUUCAAUUUAUAUUUUUCAAAAAAAUCAACUCAUAUUGCGAGAGGUGAGUUGAGCCUUUUAAUUUCUGUUUUUCAAAAAGCAACUCAUAUUGCGAGAGGUGAGUUGUACCUUUUAAUUUUUGUUUUUCAAAAAUCAACCCAUAUUGCGAUAAGUGAGUUGAGCCUUAGGUCAUAUGUCGAGGUAUUUUCAAAAUCUGCUUUUCAAAUUAAGUUUCAAAAGACCAGCUCAUGUUGUGAGAGAUGAGUUGAGCUUUGGCUCACGUGCUGAGUUAUUUUCAAUUUCUGUUUUUAAUGUCUGUUUUUAAAGAGUCAAUUCAUAUUGCGAGAAAUGAGUUGAACUCAGGAUCACAUGCCGAGUAAGAAUAAAGAUUGAAGCUGAUGAAAGACACCAGACUUGGUCUCCCUGAAGCUGUAGUGGAGCCGGUCAAAAGUUGCAAGUCUUGUCUCCCUGAGGUCGCAGUGGAACUGAUCGAGGAUAUCAAAUCUUGUCUCGCUAGAGUUACAGAAGAGAAGAUCACGAAUCUCAUCUCACUGAAGUGAUAAAAGAGCAGAUUGAAGCUUAGAUCUUAUCUUUAUGAAGCUACAUGGAAGCAGAUCAAAGCCACAAAUCACAUAUCUUUGAAGUCACAUUGGAGUAGAUUUAAACUACAAGGCAUAUAUCAGAAGAUGCAAUAGACCAAGGCUAUCUGAACAAGAAGAGCACCAACGAAGUCAAUACUCAGCAAGACUGGGCAAAAUUGGCCUUUCAUUGUGUCUUUGCUCCAUUACCGUUGCACGACAAUGAGCAAAGAGGGGCAGCUGUACAUACCCAAUUUUGCCAAACCCAAAUACAUUUCAAACCGUUACUAACCCAAGCCUGUUUACAAUAUUUUCAGCCCAAUUAGCCUAACCCAAGUACUACUAGCCCAAUACCCUAAAUUAACCUAGCCCAGCAGCCCAAAACAAAUCAGCAGAGAGGAAACCCUAAUUCCACUUGCCCCCUACUUGCGCCACACACCCUUCUGCCCUUGGCUACCACGCCCCACUUUCCUCUAACACUAGCACCAUCCUUGGUCACUCCCAUACCGUCUGCCACCGCAUGCUUCUCCUCCACUUCCCUGACACCUCCAUACCCUGCAAAGACAGAAGCAGAUCAAACAGAAUAGGACAAAAAAUAAAUAAUAUUUUCCUAGUUUUGUAGUCGGCUAUAAAGCUGAGAAAUAAACAUUUGUAAAAGGGGGGAUUCGAAAAAAGAGAAGCAAAUUUAACCAUUUCGGAAUAACAAUAUCAGCAAUAGAUUCAAACAACAAAUAGCAUACAUCGAAUACAAAAAGCAGAGGAAAAUACAAAAAAGGGAAACAAGGAACGAAAAAAUAAAUCGGAAGGUGAUUUUGUUUUUUUUUUAUUUUUUCUUUAUUAUCUUCUUAAAUCCAUUUUUUUUCUUCUUUUCUUCCUCAUUUCUAGCAUAUAUAUACACAUAUAUUCGAAAAAAAAACAAAAAAGUAAAUUUUUACCGGUGGCCGGCGCCGGCGCCGGACCUCCGACGGUCGUCCGGUGACUGGCCCGUGACCGGAGCUCUCCCCUUUCCCCUCUCUUCCUUCUCCCCUCUCUCCCUUCUUUCUUUUUUUUUUCUUUCAGCUGUUUCAAAUGAAAAAAAAUAAAAAAAAUUUAACUUAUAUAGGGGACCAAAACGGUGCGUUUUGGUCCCCCUUUUAACCAAUAAAACGGCGCCAUUUCAGGGGUGGGUCGGGUCGACCCGACCCGCCCCAGCAAGGAUCCGCGUGUUUUUAAAAGCGGAAGGGCUAUUUGCGCAAUCGGCCCUUCCGCAUUUUCAGUAUUUUAAAUCAAGUUCGGUUUUAAUUAUAAUUUGGCCCUGUUGUUUUGCUCCGCGUUCGAUUUGGUCCCCCCUUUGCUACGCAGUUUUUUAAUAAACGGGGAUAUCGCGCUCUUGGCCCCUCAAUGUUUAGUGCGCGUUCGAAUUAGUCCCCUUCUUCUAUUUUUCAUUCCGAAUUCGCCCCAAAUUUCAUUUUUAAUUCGAAUUUAGUCCUUUUUUGAAAAAUUUAAGUUGUUUUAUAUUACCUUCGUUGUUUUACUGUAUUUUAGAUAUUAUUUGUAUUAUAUCUAUUACUAUAUUUUAUUAACAUCAUCAAUAUUUUGUUAUUAUUAUUAUAUGAUAUUUAGUUACAUAUAUGUGUAUAAUUACUUUAAAAUGUCACAUUUUUACUAUUACAUAUAUAUAUGUAUUUACUAUUAUUAUAUUCAUUAUUAAUGUUAUUGAUUUUCACUUAGUAUUUAUACAUGUUUCUUCAUGUAUGUAUUUAUAUAAUGUACGGAUGCUUUUCUUUUUUCAUAUUAUUAUUUUAAUAUAUAUAUUAUAUUUGUGUAUAUUAUUAUAUAUAUUUUUAAUGUUAUGUAUUGUAUAUUUCUUACUGCUCAUAUACUUUUAUGUCGUUGUAUGUAUAUUUUUUAUUAUUAGUUAUGUUUUUUUUAUAUAUACUAUUUCAUGUAUGUAUUUUUUAUAUGUUAUCCUUAUUAUUUGUAUUGAUAUUAGUAUAUGUUUAUAUAUAUAUCUUUAAUAUAUAUAUAGGUAUAUAUUUAUGUAACAUUAUUAAUAUUCGUUUUCCACAUUAUUAUGAUAUAUAUUAUGUAAAUAUUUUAACAUUAUAUUAUAUAUGUAUUUAUAUAUAUUACGUAUGUACAUAUACCUUUUAAUAUUAUAUUUUUAUAUUAUGUAAAUAUUAUUUUAAAUACUGUAUUGUAUAUAUAUAUCCUUAGUACCACGUUACAUAUAUAUUGUGUAUAUACUUGUUUUCUUACCCCUAUUAUAUUCAUUGUUAAUACAUUUAUUUUUUUAUACAUGUAUACAUACCCUUUUUGUAAUAUUAUUUUUUACACAUAUAUGUAUAUAUUUUAUUUUAUUGUUGCUAGUUAUGUACUUUUUUACUAUCUUAUACGUACUUCAAACACUAUACGUAUAGUAUAUUUCUAACACUACUACUAUUUAUAUAUAUAUAUUUUACGUAUAUACUCUUAAUUAUCUUCAUAUGUGUAUUCAUUGUAUUCUUAUUACGUUCUCGUAUUCAAUGCUAACAUUGCAUUUGAUCUUGCAUGCACAGUUAUUAUUUUCUAAUAUUAUUGUUAUGUUUGUUAUUUGUUUCAAAUGUAUCAAGCCGUUUCAUUUGCUUAUUUUCAUUUCGUAUCAAUUAUGUCUUUCAUUCUCUUGAAAAUUACGUUCCGGUUUUCUAAUUAAUUUCAGUAGUCAAGGCAAUAUAUCGAUUUAACAUUAAGUCAUCAAGUUCAUCGCUAUGUUGGGUGAAUGUCAAUUGACUCGUGUUAAAGCGAUAUACCCUUAUCAAAAAACGGAAUAAACUAAAAUUUCUUGUUUUUUAAUCGGAUCACGACUAAAUUUUACAUUGAACCCGUAUUUUUGAAAAUCAAGACAACCUGUGUUUAUGAGAUACCAAUUUUUGGGCGUCGCGAGGGUGCUAAUACCUUCCUCGCGCGUAACCGACUCCCGAACCCUAAUUUUUCUCUGGCUUUUAAUGUAGACCUAAACUCAGCCUUUUAUUUGUUUUAAAAGAAGUCUAACAGGUGUCCGGUCACACCUAAUAAAAAGGAUCGGUGGCGACUCCCUGUUUAUUUUAAAAAUCAAAUUUUAGCUUCCAAGUUUUCAAUAGAUGGCCACAAUUAGCGACCAAAACCAAACGAAUCUUUACGUCGCUACAGUUUAUUUUGUUAGUUGAUUAAAUAAGGCUAUUUUAUCUUCAUUCAUCAAGUGUUGUAUUUUAUGUGUGUAUAUCAUCCCAUGUUCAUUGUUUUCCUUUUGAUUUAUGAAAUAUUGCUUUAUAACUUCCAUUUCUUUAAACCUAAGUAUUCCAUUUUAUUUCAAGUCGAAUUAAUGUGUUUUAAGCUAGUUUUAUAAUUAUUCAUUUAAAAAAUUCUUUAAAACGAAGGCAAUGUUUGAUGUUUGGCAAUUCGGGGAAUCGUGCCCUAUCGUGCUGGGUUGCAAUUUCCCGUUUGUUCAAAAUAAUUGAAUAUUCCUUUGGAAUUUCAUUCAUGUCUUUAAAAAUUCUUUAAAACGAAGGCAAUGUUCGAUGUUUGGCAAUUCGAGGAAUCUUGCCCUAUCGUGCUGGGUUGCAAUUUCUCAUUUGUUCAAAAUAAUCGAAUAUUCCUUUAGAAUUUCACUCAUGUUUUCUAAAUUCUAAAAAAGGCAAUGUUCAAUGUCUAGAAAUUUGGGGAAUCGUGCCCUACUGUGCUGGGUUUCGGUUUUUUCGUUGGAGUAAAUAAUUGGACAUUCUUUUGUGAUUUUCAACAUAUAAACUUUUGGAAGUUGAAAUUUAUCGGGUUUUCGAGGGUAUAAAGGAUCAUGUCCUAUCGUGCUAGAUGUGAUGUUGUAUUCCUCUGAAACAAGAGAAUUUUGACGACCAACUUGGGCUAUUCAAAGGUUUAUAAAAGGGACCACAUUUCAAAAAAUAUUUUUAAAUCUCAGACAUAAGACAGUAUUUAAUCUAUUUGGUAUCAAUUUUGGGCGUAGUGAGGGUGCUAAUUCUUCCUCGUACGUAACCGACUCCCGAACCCGUUUUCUCAAAUUUACGUAGGCCAAAAUUGGUUUAAAUGGAAUAAAAUAUUUUAUUAAGGUGAUCCAAUCACAUCGAAACAAUAGAUUGGUGGCGACUCCACAUUUUUUGUUUUAAAACGUCGAUCCUCAUUGUUUGUUUUCAAAAAUAAAAAGGUGAUUUCGACAUAAUGUUUUGUAAUUUUUAUAUUAAUUUUGAUCUUAUAUAUUUUUAACAUUAUAUAUAUUUAUUAAAAUAAAUGAUGACAUGGUAUAAUAAUAAAAAAAACCUAAACAAUUUGAUAAAAUCCCAAUUUAGAAAUAAAUAUCGCUUUAUCCUUAAAAAUUUUCAUAAAAAAAUCUAAAUUUUGUGAUUGAAAUUUAAAAAAUGAGUAUAGACCUGGGGUCUGAUAUGUUGUGAGAGAAUUGAUGACAUAUUUUCAUGGAAAACUAGAGAAUUAGUUUCAUCAUUAACAUUUAAAAUAGCAACUAGAUAAUUUUUUUAUCCAAUUAAAUAAGUGAAAAUGUGAUUAUGGGGAUCUCUGUAAUUUUUAGAAGACUUGUACCAUCAUAUAAUGGAAGUCUUGUUUUUAUACACAAAAGUCCCAUCUUAAUUACAAAAUAUAUGGGAAACUUUGGUCAAUGAUUGAAAGAUACCCCUUUGACACUGAUUCUCUUUUGUUUAAUUAAUAACUGAUUACAAGUUGAUUUGUGAUAUAUAUAAACUAUUACUAUCCCAAGGGUAAUUUUCUAGGCUGAAUGUUUACAAGGCUGUGGCUUGGCUUCAUCACGAUCGGGAGCAUGGUAUACUAUUACUAUCCCAAGUUUUAAGCUUUUUUUGUCAACAAAAUUCAGAAACCCAAAAAUCAAACCCAUCAAAUUAAUAAUGAAUCAGAUCAUGAUUAAUGUGUGGUGGGGAAGUUACAUGCAUGAUGCAACGUGAGAGUGGCAGCCUUUACCCUUUUGUUUAACGGUCAAAACAUGAAAAAGGGUACAAAAAAUGGCAGCCAUGCAUGGCUGAAAGGGCAUUCUUUUUUAUUAAAAUAUAAGGAGGGGUUGUUUAGAUUUAGACUCCAACCGAAAUGAGAUCAUUAUAAUUGAAAGCCAAACCCUAAAGACGGUCCCCCCAAUUCCCCAAUUGGGAGAGACGAUGGAUUAACAGCUAGCCCCGCCUACGUUUGGCUCAAAUUUAGGUCAACUCACUACACGCUUGGCUCUUAAGUCUUAACGAAACAAGAACUUGUAAAUGUCAUUACUUAUCUUUGAGGAUCUCAGCUGAUGUCAUAUUUAUAUUUGUAAUAUUAUUUUUUCUUGAAUAUAAAGUAAUUUCAGCUUGAGAAUAGCUCUUGGGUUUUCAUUUCUUUAUAUGCAGUGGCAUUGACCCAAAACUAGGAUUUAUAAAAUGAAACUUUGGUGACUUCAUAGUAAAUGAAGAAUCAAUAAUUAAUGACAUAAGUCAACAGAGGAUAGAUAUAUAAAUCUAAUUUAACAUUGUAAAGAAUUAUAAAAAUGUUGGCUGGACUUCAUCAUUUCCCUUUUUCUCUCCUUCCCCUUUUUUCCUUGUUAAAAAAUGAGGAUUGAAGCUAAUUAAGUUGUGACAUAAACUCUUCAUAUUAUAAAAACUUUAUAUUAUUAUUUGGUACAAAAUUUUAAAAUUAAGGUUUAAGUGAUAACAUGUCAUUUGAAUUAAAUUUUAAAAUAAAUAAAUAUAUAUAUCAUUAUCUUAAUUCAAUUUUUUUUCUUUUAAUAGCAACUAACAAUAUAAGACAGAGAUUUUUUAAAAAUCACUUUCUUUCCAUUGUGUAUUCAAUGGCGAAGUCAGAAAUUUUUUUUAGAGGUGACGAAAUUGAAUUGUAAUUUUUAAAAUGGUAAAAAUGUAAUAUUAUCAUUUUAAUAGUCUAAAUCUUUACAAUUUUUAAAGGAUUAAAUUAAAUUUUUUAUCAUUUUAAGGGACCAAAAUAAAAUUUUACUUUUAUUAAUUUAAAAUUUUAAAAAGUUUAAAUGAAAAUUUUUUUGUGCAUCUAUUUAAAUAACAUAUUUUUGUGUUUAUUAUCAAAAAAUAGAAUAAAGUUUAGGUUGUGCUAACAAAUACUAGAAUUAUAAAAUUUGGGUACAUAUAGAAAUGUGAUGUGUAAAUUCUCCAAAAUCUUACUACAGACCGUCCGAAUAUAUUUCUGCUUUGGGAACCAAUUUUCUUGGGCUAUAAUAAGUCUUCCCUAGUCUACUUUCACCCUACCUCUCUUGUGAGUUGAUAGUACCAUGGUGAAGAUUCCUACUAGAUAAUGGACAUCAUAUAAUACUUUGGUCUGAGAUGAUACCCAUUUCAGGGCCUAUUAGAUGUUAGGCUAAGUGAUUUCAGCCCCCUCCAAAUGGCUUUAAGAAAAAAGAUAGCAGAUAUGAGAGACCCUUUACACCAAAAAUAUGGGCUGGGCUACCACUUUACAAAAGAAAAAGUUCGAACUUUAACAUAAACUGCAUUUGGACAACUUAAUUAGUGUGAGGGCUACGUUUUUUUGUUGAAAAGUGUAGGGGCUACGUUUUAAUCCAUGGAGAAGUAGAAUCAUAUUAGCCGCCCCUUUAAGGCCUCGUUUGUUGUGAUUUUGAGAAAUUAUUUCAGAUGAUUUUGAUUGAGAUUUAAGUAAUAUUUGUUAUUUUAUGAUAUGAAAUUAUUGGUAUGGUUAGAAGAAAAAAGUAUUGUAUGAAAUUGUAAUUUUAUGUCAUCUUUAUUUUUUUUUAUAGGAAAAUAAUAAAUCAAAUUUUUUUAGAUGAAAUUUAUCCCCCAUUAUGUCACCCGUGCUAUUUUAUUGUCAUAUCUAAUAUUUAGAAUUUGCCUUGAUUUAGUAAUGCUCUUGUGGCCCGUACCAAAACAAUACUUUACCUCUAGAUGUCCAAUCGCCCCAACAACUUUCGGGGAGAACUAAGGGAGAAUCAACUAACUCGGGAUAUCACUUAGUUUAGAUUUUAACUACUACGGGUUUUAUUUUCCUCCAAAGUAUUGUUCUUUUCCCUCCCAAAUUGACGAAUGGUAACUUAAAUAAAACCUCUGAUCAUUAACGACUAAUUCCAAACUCCCACCAAAUUAUUUUUAAAAUAUAGAUUCCAGUACUAGUCAAUAUAACACCAAAAAAUUGGUUGAAUCACAUAUAUAGUGGACCUUUGUCACUGUGAAUACAUUUGACAGAGUCCUCCCAACCCCUUUUAUCGAUUACAUUAACUUGGGUUAAUUAGGCAGAAUUAGGUUUCCCAGUACCCAUCUUUUAAUUUCACGAUAUAUUAGAAAACGUAAUGAAUAGACAUUAAGCUUCCCUAGCAUUUGCAUGUUCAACCUGGAACUGGGAAGAAAGUCAUCGUAUGUCGACAUUUCCACUACAUAUAGAAACGAGGAAUAAUUAGUUGCAUCAAACCUAUCUCUGGAAGUGCUUGGGUCAACUCUUUACAUAUUACGACCAUCUCAAAUGGAUUGACAUUGACUUGUCAAAAUAUGAUUUUAAUGAUUAUUUCUUUUAAGUUUAAAACAAAGUCAAAAGCUCGACAUGGCUGGCUGGCUUGUUUAUGGGGUUUAAUAACCCCCUCCAUCUUGUCCGCAUGUUCACAUGGGACGUAUAGUGUGUAUAAAUAAUAGGAGCUGCCUUCAUCAUCUUCAUACAACAAAAACGAUUAUGGAAUCCUCUUCUCUUAUUUCCUUCUCAUUGCUUUUUUGCUUUAGUAUACUAUUCUUUGGUUCAAAUGGAGUCGAAGCUCGAAGAGCCCCUCCGUCCAUCUCUUAUUUGAUUAGUGAAAAUCUGUUUAAUUCCAUAUUUCUACACAAGGAUGAUAAUGCAUGCCCUGCAAGAAACUUUUACAAUUACACCUCCUUUAUUCAAGCCGCGAAAUGCUUUCCAAGCUUUGGCAACACAGGGGAUAUAGCUACCCGAAAGCGUGAGAUUGCAGCUUUUCUUGCUCAAAUAUCCCACGAGACCACCGGCGGAUGGGCCACCGCACCCGACGGACCAUACGCUUGGGGCUUGUGCUUCAAAGAGGAAAUCAACCCUCAAAGCAACUACUGUGACUCUACCAACACACAAUGGCCUUGCUACCCUGGCAAAUCAUACCAUGGAAGAGGCCCCAUUCAACUAUCCUGGUAAUGAUAUUGCAUUUUGCGUGCGCGUGUGUUUUAUUGGAAGCUAUUAAGCUAAGGCAAGGUUUAACCGAAUAGAUUGGUGUUAUUGAUAACAGGAAUUACAAUUAUGGACCAGCCGGGAAGGCAGUGGGUUUUGACGGGCUAAGGAACCCAGAAAUAGUAGCCAACCACUCCUUGAUCGCAUUCAAAACCGGGCUUUGGUUCUGGAUGACGGAGCAGAGCCCAAAGCCGUCUUGCCACGAUGUCAUGGUUGGUAAAUAUGUCCCGACGGAAGCCGACUUGGCAGCUAAUCGGACGGCGGGAUAUGGUUUGGUAACCAACAUAAUCAACGGUGGGUUGGAGUGUGGAAUACCCAACGAUGCACGUGUAAAUGACAGAAUUGGAUUCUUUCAGAGAUAUGCUCAGUUGUUUAAAGUUGAUACAGGGCCUAACCUAGACUGUGCGAAUCAAAAGCCGUUUUAACAAAAAUGGGGUUCCCUACCUUUGUUUUCUUCUUGUAUAAUAAAACAGGGCGUGCUUGUUUGUUGUGACCUUGUGAUACAAUUGUAAUUUCUAUAAUAAUAGUAAAUGUUUAUUCUGACGGAAGAGCAAAGGGUUUUUCUCAAUGGAAUUUUCUUUUUGUUUUGUUUUAGGGUUGAUUCUCUGUGAGAUUUUAUGAAUAGAUUAUUCUAAAAUCUGACGUUAAUGAUCAAGGCUGAAACAUGCAGGAAAAUAACAUGGCUAUAAGAAGAAAACGUCAAAGCAUAAACUGACAAUGACGUUCAAAUCAGCCAAUUUAUUUGGUGCAACCACAGCCCAAGAACUAAAAGUUUCCAGGCCUUCACUCUCCUAUUCCUUCUAAGUGGACUAUUGGGCUGAAGAGAGAGGAAUAGAAGACAAUUCAGAGGACAAGCAGCUAGUGAAGACUUUAUUGUAAAUACCAAAUACUAUUAAAGAGAUUGUACACAAGAGACUUAUAGGUAAGAAUAUUAAAAGGCUUUCCUUAAGUAAAACAUAACAAUCCAUCACCAAUGAAAGAUUUACAACCAAAAGACAAGACUGAUGCUUGUUACUCAAUCAUUCUAGUAUGUCCAUGAUACUUUUUUUUUCUAAACCCUAAACAUAUCCCACCAUAUAUUUUAUGCAUACGCAUCUCCUAUUGAUUUUCACUCCACCAAAAAGAAAAGAAAAGAAAAACAAUUUUUUAUCAAAGUUCAGCACUUGAUCUACUUAUCUUCAAUCUCCUCACAACUGACAAGAACAUCCUACAGUACAUGCAUAUAUAGAACAGCUUCAGCUGUGGUGUACUAUAAGGAAUGACCAUCAUCACCAUAUAUAAGACAUAUGGAAAUGUUGUUUACUUACUGCCAAGGAACAUCACCAACCAUCAUCCAAUCCCGUUCCUUGUCUUCAUAUGUUAGUACAUGAUAUUCCUCGAAAUAAUCUCCAUUCACCUCAGCCUCAGCCCCUGCAUGGAUUCGUCAAAACUUCUGUUCAGGGGGAAAAGAAAAAACAGCUGUUGCAUUUUUAACGAAGGAAACAAAAGAAGUAGAAAGAUGAAACUUAACAGAUGAGGUUUGUAUUAAACACAUGUUCAAGAGUUUUUAUCAGGUCACAGUAACUCCGGCGAGCCAACAGGUCUACUUUUCUACCAAUAGGAAUUCCUUCCAUGUAAACUUUGACAUAAAAAGUAGCACUGUUGCACUCAUCUUGUUCGGCAAGCUCCAGCCUUAGCAGCGGCUUUAUUGGCGAUCUUUGCUUCCUGAUAUACAUGUAUACGUACCAAUUUACCCAAAACAAAUGGUAGUGUUUCUUUUGAAGAUGAUGGUGAGUAAAUAACUAAACACGCACCUUGCAUAAAGAGGAGAGGUUGAAAUGCUAAGACCAAGGCUAAGAUCGGUGUUAUGGUCCCUCUGCGAAGAGGAAGAAGCAGCAGUAGCAGUGCUUGAGGAAUCAAAGUGGUUGCUGCUCCCUAUAGAAGAUGAACAAUAACUAAUUGCCCUUCUCAUUUUCUGAGAUGUGGGAACUAAGACUGAAGAACAAAAGCCGCCACCUUUGGUUUAAAUAACCAGAAAGAGAAGGAAAUACUGUAUAUAUAAUGGAAAACGGUGGUAGUAAGUAUUGGUAGAGAAUCAAGAGAGGCAGUUCUUUCAUAUUCCUGGCCAUGGUUGGGAUGAUAUGUCGUCAGAGCAGCCGACAUGUAUACGUCUUAUCUCAUGAUUUUAACUUUUUGUUUCUUGGGAGUUAAAUUCAAGGAGGCUCCAUGUGCGGGUUCUGUUUUGCGUUUGCUUCUCUUGUGUGCAAGUUCAAGGAUUCAUGCACAACACACGGGUAAUUUUAUAGCCUUCCGCAUUUAUAUUUAGUCACCACCUCAUGGCAUAAAUGUUUGACUUGUCUUUUGGUAAACCAUAUCUGAAUUGAAAUAUUAGUAAUUUUAUAUGGUAAAAUAGUAUUUAUUAUAUAAUUUAUUUUAAUAAAAGAUAAUUAUUAUUUAUAUUUUCCAUAAAACAGAAUUUAAAAGAUAUCAUGAUGAAGUUAUGCAUUAAAACUCAAAUUGUUGUUCUUUUUAAAACAAAAUCCUUUUUCCUCACGUGGAAAGGAAACUCUUGUUUUACCUUAAAAAUAAAAGGCUUGGUUAUCAUCGUUGUGUAUCUAUCACCUUAAUAAUUAACUCUAAGAAAAAGGGGAACAAGAAAGAUUGGCUUGCACCAAAAGAAACGCCAAUUUUGCGAGAAAGAAACUACAGGAAGGAAGAUCUAAGAUGAGAAAAAGCAAAAGCUGAUGUCCCCCACCAUUUCUUGCCCAAAUCUAUGUUAGCUUCGAAGGGCCAUGGGAUGGGAAACCUAUUGUUUUACUGUUCCCAACACUUUUUUUUUGUCCCUUUAAACACAAUACUGUUUGAACAUAAAGUUUUUUUAACAUGCCAACGAGAUAGUGACAUCUAAAUUCGAAUUUUAAAAUUUCUAAUUAUUAUUUAAAAAAACAUUUUUCCUCAUUUACAGUAAUUUUUUCUAAUUAUUAUUAUGGGUCAAACUUGCUAUUGCUUUAUAUUUCAGAAUACCAAAAUUGUCAAGGAUAGGCCCGGGUGAGGGCAUUUUCCCAUUUUAGGGGUUGCGCUAAAACUUUUUCUUCCCUGGUUUUUUCCCUAUAAUUUUUUUCAAUGACUUAUAUUUUGAAAUUAUUACUCCGUUUUUAAAGCGUCGAUAAGUUUAGGGGCCUUUGCUAGCGAUAACCCCCCCCCCCCAAAAAAAAAAAAAGAAAUCUGCCGCCCAGUCUCAGGCUAAACAUGAAGCUUUCCUUAAAAACCUAACUGGAAAUUUAGGUAAUUUCCAUGCAGAAGGGAAGUUUAGGUGAGAAAUAAAACAUAAGGCAUGUUCUUCUUGGCACUAAUUUUAGAAUAACUCCGACUCCUAAAAUAACAAAUAUUAAACAAUAAAAUGAUACUUAAAUUAUAUUAAUUUUCUUAAAUUAAUACCUAAAUUAUUAAAUCUUUACCUAUUUUACCCCAACUAUUAGCCCAUUAGAAUAUAAAAAUUCAGCCAAUCACAAUUACUGCCCAUGUAUUUCCAGAUUUUCUUAGAUGUUAUUCCCGUCAAACAAUUUUUAUUUUCUCAUCAACCAAACACCCAACAAAAAAUUUAUUGCUUCUUGUACAAAGCUUCCACCAUUUAUUAUCUUCAAGUUUCAACUACUUCUACCAUUUUCAAGCUUUCAGUCUUUUUCUUUCUUCACCUUUCGUUUUGGGGUGUUCUUAUUUUUUAAGUUUUUUUUUUACUAAAACAUUAUUGGAAUUAAAGGGUCAGAUGCUAAAAUGGCGUUGACAUUUGAAUCUAUUCAAAAGAAUCAAGUUAAAUAGCAAUAAUGAAUCGAUUCAAACAUAAAAAAAAAAGAAAAAAAAAUUCGAGUCAAUCAACAAAACAAUCAAUUCAAGUAAGCAAAGAAUCUAUUCAAAUGAAAUAGCAAUGCUUUUGGUGCUCAAGUAAAGAAAAGAGAGAGAAGAAGAAGAUGAGCCAAAAAUUUUAGUUGAACAAAUCUGCAAAUUAAUCUCAUUUACUUUUUUAUUCUUCAAAAACUGCUUUGUUUUUUUUUUUGUUUUUUUUUGUACUUAGGAAGUCAUUGUAUGAAAGUGAAGAUUUGACUAUUUUUUAUACAUUCUCUUUUAUUAAAGAUCUUUUUGGGUUUUGUACUUCAUUGUAUAAGGAAAGAAUAUGUGAGAAAAAAAAUAUAAGAAAAUAUGAUAAAAUCAACACUAUGACAAAUGGGGUAAAUUGAAUAGAAGUUUACGUGACGAGUUAUAAUUGUCAGAAAAAAUUUUUCUAAUUGGAUUAACAAUUGGGGUAAAAUGGAUAACAGCUGAGUAAUUUUGGUACCAAUUUUGACCAAAAAAAAUUUAGGUUUCAAUUUGGAAAAACUACUAUAAUUUAGGUAUCAUUUUGUUGUUUAAACCCAAUUAAGGGACUUGGGUGUUAGGAUUGCAUGAAACGGAAGAGACCAGCAGCAAGAAUUCGCUAUUCAAGAACCAAUUAUGACCUAUUGAACCUGUCAGCCUGACUUAUUUUAGCCCUAACGCAAGCCCUUUCAAGAGGAACAGGAGCAACCUUGAUAAACAGCAUGUAUGCUCAACGGUAAAAGAGCAUGUUAGGAAGAUGAAAUGUUUUGAUACGUGAUGCCUCAAAUGCCUAGUAUCGGUACUGAUCAUGGGAUGAGAUAAUUAACACUGCUAUCAAGUAUGAUAUUGCAACAUGAUAUACAAAUAUGAAGUUCUAAUGAAAACCCCAAAAAGUGGUCAAGGAACUAACAAAAAAAAACCCUACCCAAUUUUUUAGCUAAAGAGAUACUAUCCAAUAACUGACUUCUACAUUUGCAGCCUGACAAGCAUUUCAAUAUUAUUUGUAUGCAUAUUGUGACAGGAAUUCCUUCACUUCAGCUGCAACCUCGUAAGCACCUUCCACACACCGUCCUAAUGCCACACCAGAUACAUAGUUGCCCCCAAGAAACAGUCCAUGAAACCCAGAAUCCCUGAGAGCCAUUUUUGCAGUAUCAAGGAGAUCCAGAUGACCAACCAAGAACUGUGGAAUGGCUUUUGGCCAUACUCUUACACCCAAAACAAGAGGAUCCUUUGCAUUAGGAUUUAUAAGCAUUUUUCUCAAAUCACGAUCAACUGCUUCUACAAGUUCCCCUUCAGUCUGCAGGAAAAAUACAGCAUCAGCAAGUAUCAUGCAAAAUCAUGGAAAACAUUAUUUGUAGGUUCAUGUGACAAAUUAUAGUUGGUGAAAAAAAUUUGGACCUUCAAUAAUCUUGACCAUCCUAUAUUUAAAGAUUGCUGGCAGACCGGGUAAUUAUUCCAUGAUCAUACAGGUCUUUAAUACCCUCUAAAGGGAUUACAUCUACCACAAUCUCCGUCCUCAUCCAAAAUUGUGUUGUCCUCAACAAAAACUCAAAUUAUAGAUCUUAAAAGAUGUCUACCUUGGACAAAAUUCCAGUGUUGGUAGCUCCUCCUAUGUAGUUCAAGAGCAACACCCUGCCAGAUGGAGCUCGAUUCGGGAAAAGUGAUGAACUGUAUAUCGUCCCUGCAAGUUGUUUUGUUAAUUAAUCAAAUUUCUCAAAGCGAACUUUUACCGCAAACAAGUUAGUAUGAUACUAGAUAUGUUACUUUAGGAAGAAUGGAGUUACCUAAAGUUUCGAUUCCUUGGCUGCGUGGGUGCAACUGGCCAAACCCCUUAAGUUCACCAUCAAUCAAACAUUCUUUUCGAAUGGCUUCUUUUGGAUAGGAGACUGUGACUGAUGCAACUGGAGGAUAAUAAAAUUGGGAUAAUGCAUCUGCAGCAGCAGCCUGCAAAGAGGACACAAAAAUGGAUCAAAGAAAUAAUAGUAAAACUCUGAAGUCAACUAAACUAGUUAAGAACGAGAACAAGGCCUCAAUAACUCUUUUAGAGAACAAUUUCCUUCAGACAUUUUCCCUUGUUGGGAAAAGUUACUUUUAGGUAUGAAUACACAUUACUAGUAUACCAAGAAAGUAUAGCAGAUCCAUAAACAACAUAGAGUACAUGGAACAUUUUUCAAGAAAGUGGACUUGCACAAAGUAGAAUAUCUUCAAUCAUUCAGCAUACUGACACACCACAUAAAAGACGCCCAAUUCAGUAGUCCAAGCCUGGCCAAGAGUGUGCUCUAUCAAAUUUAGGAGAAGAACUAUAUAGAUAGAGGCAGACGAACUUGCUUUUUAAUAAUUUAGCAUCCUAGACAUUGCAACAUAAAUGAGUGAAUCCUCUAUGCUAGAUGCUAACAACACCUAUAAAAAGUUGUCUAGCAAGGAGUAGGAAGAUAUGAAACAUACCGAGAGAGGAUGCAACAAGUUACUGGCAACAUGGGAUGGAAUGGUCAUGACAACACUUCUACUCUGAAGAGAUACCAUUCCUUCAGGUGUUUCAAAUGUCAAGUUAUACCCUCCAUUACCCAAUUUGGUAAUACUGGAGAGCUUCCAAGAUAAUUUUACAUUGCUACCCAAACUGCCAACUCAAGACAACUAAUUAGGACCCUCAUUCCUGAAAUGUAAAGAUGGGCAUAAAAGCAUAUUGACAAUUUAGAACCACUACAGAGGCUAAAGCUAUUAUAGAGACAAGGCCACCUGUUAGCAAUUGCCUCAGGCAGCAUGGUAAGUCCCUUCCUAAAAGAUCCAACUGUUUGGCCCUUCGGUUUUGGCAGACGCCUGCAAGAUAACCAUUCAGGGUGAUGGAAAUAAAUAUCACAAAAGAAGCAUCAGUAUAUUCAAAAUUACGGGUCUCUGGGUGGCUUAGGUGUCUUAUUUCUCUCCUGGAUUGUCUUGAAAGUGCCACCAAUGAUGCUACCACCAAUCUCUUCUAGCUUCCAUACUCUUCCAAAUGCUGCUUUCAUGCUUAAUUUUGAAGGAUCCCCUGCAUAAACACCUGCAGCAAUAACAACUUUUCAAGUAUAACAAUUGAGAAGUGGUUAAAGAAAACAAGACCUUAAAUAUCAGUUCCUAGGUUCAAGAAAUUCUUGAUCAGAAAAUGCUAAAUUGAAGGUGGUUCACUAUUGUACCAGUAGUAAACUGAGGGUAUAACUUAUUGAUUGAAAAUGUCUUAAGAAAAACAAAAUAUUAAGUACAUCAUUACAGAUAAGGGAACACAUAAAAAGAAUGGAAUCAACAUGCAUCUGAACAAGAUCCCAUGGAACUAACCCAAAUAUAUAUAUGAUAACUGAUAACAAUGCAAAUAAAACAGAGAAAUGUCCCAAAUAUUUUAUAUGAAAGGACCAGUAGAGCCCGUAGAUAUUAAGGACAAUUAACAAGCCAUGAUGACAAGGUAAUUUAGACUGAAAAGAAUAUAAUAAUUGGCGCUCGGCGCAGAAGUGAUUAAAUAACAAAUGUUUCCUACAAGAAAAAACUUGAAAAAAAUAAAUAAAUAAUAGAGAAUAAAGAUAUCAAUCAUCACCUGAACAAAAUGGUUCAAUAAAGCGUUCAAAAACCUCAGCACCAAGAUUACGGCGCACAAACUCCUCCACCGAUUCUUCAUAACCCUGUCACCCUUGUCAAAAUUCUGCUAUAUUAGAACCUUCAAUAUAUACAAACAUUAUGCAUAUACAAGAACGUUAUACUUUUGAUGCAUAACCAAAUAAAAGAAAAAAGCUUAUAAGAAAAGUAAAGUGGACAAACCGGAGGAGGAGGCCGAAUGCCAAUAGCCCCGAACCCAGCCCUAAGUUUUCCAGCAAUGCUCAUCAAGUCAAAAAACGGCAAGUCGGUUGGCUUGGAGGGCACAAGCCUUAGUUUUCCCUUCCACAGUACAAAUCGCGGUGCAUUAGGGUCACCUAAAACUAAAUCGUCCUUCAAUCCACUAUCCACCUACAACAAUAAACACACAUUCAUAUGGUCACUAACAUAAUUAGUGACCUGAAAUUCACGGUUUAAUGAAGUGCGAUUGAGCAGCAAAAUAUAAAACAAAUCGCAUAAUUAAUUACAGUAAUACGAAAAGAAUUACGAAAAUGCAAUUCGGGAAAAUGUGGGUUAAGAGAAACCUACGGCCAUGGUUAGAAUAGGAUCGGAGGGCUGAAAACUGUUGGGUCCUUCUUCCCACAGAUAUCCAUCUCUCUCAACGGUAGUGAUGUUGCCACCAACACGGUCUCUGGCUUCCGUCACAAUCACAUUGGAAGCGACGUCACGGUGCUUGGUGGCGAGAGCUUGAGCAAUGCAAAGUCCACUGAUACCACCUCCAACGACGACGCAAUCCGCGAUGGAUGAUUCUCCCCCGUCGAUUUUAGAUGAGGAAAUCGUGGGACCCUCGGCGACGGAGCAUCGGAGCCUGAAAGGUUUACGAAAGCGGGGCGGAAGCUGGUGGUGGGGCAUGGAGAAAGGGGAAACGGAGGGCGAGGAGCGGAGAAGAGAAAGGUCGAUUAGAGCCGUCAUGAUUGGUGGUGGGGCCAGGCGAGCGAGAGGGAUGGGAAGAAAAAGGCGCUGGAAUUAAAAUAACUAGCGAUUGAAAGUUGAAAGUAGGGAGGUUGGCGAGAUUGUGUUAUCUUCAAGAGGAAAUAUCGAGUGUGAUUACUCGCACCUCUGAGCUGGUAAUCAGUCAAAUUCUGUGAGUAACGGCGUACGUAUUAUGGAAUUUGUCUUGUGGUUGUUAAUGAUUUUUUCAGAAGUUGAAUUUGGUGGUGCUCGAGUCGACGAUAAGAUCGAUCAUAACUUUCAAUUUUCCUUGUUAAUCAGAUCUGACCAGCUUUCAUAAUUUGAGUCAAGCACUUCAAAAUGUUUUACUCUCCCCUGCCUCGUUAAAAAUGAUAAAACGAAACUUUGUCGUGAUGAAACGAUUUCUAGUUUAUUAUGAAAAUGAAUUGAUACAAGGGUAAACUAUAUUAUUUACUCUGCUAAAUUUCAUUUUUAUAAAAAUUUAUAAAAUAUAAUUUAAUUAUUUAAUUUUAUCUUUUCUUACAAAGACGAUGCGUCAGUUUUUUAAAAUUGGUAUUAUAAUAAUUUUAAUUUUAAAUAUUUAUGCAUUAUGUAAAUUUAGUCUUAAUUCUAAAAAAAGUUAACUCUAAACAUUUACAUACAGUGUAAUUUAAUCCUUUUUAUAAUUUUCCUUUCUCUGUAACUCUUCCAUCUAAAAAGCUAAAAAAUAUAAAUUUAUCAACUGAAUUUGAUAAAAAAUAUACCAAAAAUUGAAACACAAACGAAUCCAGUACAAUAAAUUUCAUUUUUUUCUUAUUGUUUUAAAUUCAUUCCGUAUACUUUAAAUGUUCAAGAACUUAAUGUCUCUCGAUGUUGAUUAACUCAUUUUUUGUUUGGUAAACUAUUAAAAUAUUUACUUUCAUUUGACUUAAGUUACAUUAUAGUCACUUAUAUUUAAAAUGUUACGUUUUUGUCACUUAUGUUGUCGUGUUAUAACAUUUUAAUUACUGAACCGUUAAUUAUCGUUAAUGGUGUAACAGUAAAUUAAUCUGACACGUCAAAUUAUAAUUUCAAAUGAAUUUUUUAGGUUAAAUUAUGUAAUAGCUUGAAUUUCAACAAUGUCGAAAAUAGUGGUUCGAGACCAUCAAAUCUGACAAAUGAACUCGUAGAUUAUAUUAUUUAAUAUUUACGAGUCAAAUGUAGUUUUUAAAAGAUUUUUGGAAUAGUAAAUUGUGUUUUAUAAAGAUUUAUUUGGUCAAGAAAUUGAGAAAAAGAGGUAUCGAGAUCUCGAUGUUAUAAACAGAGCCAUAAAUAUUUUUAUAAAUAUUUACGGAAUGUCAAUAAGGUAGUAUUAAAAUUUCGUUAGAAAAUUUUGACGUUUGGGUGGUCAAUUAAAUAAAAAUGAUUAAAUUAGAAAAUGUGUAAAAGUUGCUAAAAGGAUUAAAUAGCCCAAUUGUCAAAUGAGGAAGGACAUAAAGUGAAAAUAAGCCCAAAGGAGAUAUUUUGGGCGGCAAUAGCUGAGAAAAAUCAGGAAAUGGGUGAAAUAAGGGCAAAAUUAGAAAAUUGCCAAAAUUAGCUAAAUAAAAAUAGGACUAAAUUGGAAUAUCUAGAAUUCUCGUCAUUUCUCUUCAUAUUCAUCAGCUGAAAAACAGCCAUGGAAGGGGGUUCAAGCUGGUUUUCAUGCUCUAGCUUCAUGUAAGUUUAAUUCUUGCUUUCUCCUUGAAAUUUCUAUGUUUUUGGAAUUUUACAAUUGGGUCCAACUUACUAUUUCAUUAGUUUUUGAUUCCAUGGCUAAUUUUUAAAGUUUUUAUGGAUGAGUGCUGAAAUAAUAUGAUGAAUAAUCAUAUAAUUGAAGCUUUACUUUUGGUAUAUGAUGAUUUUAUCAAGUAAAAUUGAUGGAAAUUCAUUUUAGGACCUAAUUAAGAAAGAGUUUGGAAUUAAUGUCUAAUGCUAAAGUUCUGAUUUUUAGGGGUUAUGAAGAAUUUUAAAAUGAUAGAAUAAAGUAUUAAUUGAGAAAAUUUAUCUCAAUUGAGGGGUUAAUUGAGCAAGGACUGAGUUGUAUAAACUGUGAAAUUUGGGGCAAAAUGAAAAUCAACAUUUUUCACUAAAACUGUUUUGGACAGCAGCAGUAGUGUAAUUUUGGAAAAUCACCAAAAAUUUUAUAAAUCGAAUUAGAGGAUGAAUAAAAUAUGAAAUUAAAGUUUAUUGAGUGUAGUUUCUUAUAAAAGAAAAGAUGUAAGCAAUGGAAUUGUGAAUCAUGAGAUAUAAUAAAUUUUAUGAGACAAAGUCAGAAUGAUUUCGGGUUCCCCUAUUUUGACUUUGGAAAAUCAUAAAAAAUUGGAGAAAAAUAAUUAGUGGCUUAAUUAUCCUAUUUUCCAUAGAAACAAACGACAACAUCAUUUGAAUCUUGUACGAGGAUAUAAUUAAUUUUUAGUGAAGAAGAGUCAGAACUAUUAGACAGCAUAACAGGGGUAACUUUAAAGAAUAAACUGUACUUAUUGGCUAAACCAAAAAUUCUGAAAAUUUUAUGGUAAGAAGAUAUAUGAGUCUAGUUUCAGGAAAAAUUAUCGGAUCUUAAUUUGGAGUUAUAUAGCUCCAGAUAUAAAUAAUUUAGUGACUAUGACACAGAUGGACAGAUUGAAUAUUUAUAAAAGUAAAUAAUAAAGAUUAUAAAUAAUGUUACUUACAAGUGUGUUAUAUACAUUAAGGGUGUGGAAUGGAGAGGAGGAGGAGGAAAAUAUAUAUGAAUAUCCAGCUAGCAUGACUAAUUUGCAUGUUUUAGGCUUAAGGACUGAAUUGAAUAAAAGUAAAACUUCAAGGGUAAUUUUGUAAAAAUGUCAAAAAUGACCAAAUUGAAGGGAAUGAAAUUUUUUUAUUAUCUAAAUUAAUAAAUUGAAUGAAAUUUUCAAUUUAAUAUGGGGUGAAAAUUGGGAAAAUGGUAAAUUACCAAAAUGCCCCUUAAUCUUGAUAUUUUUGCAAUUUCGCCAAGUAAGUUCGUGUAACUUGAAUUAUAUUCUUAAAUGCUUGAAAUGCAUGUUUUUUUUAUAUGAAUAUGAUUUGAAUGUUCAUUAUAUGAAAAUUUAUGAAACAUUGAUAUAUUUGAAAAAAAAAGGGGGAAAAAAAAUCCCGGUUGAACGGAAGGAAAAUUCGAUGGAUCUCUGAAAAGGAAUUGACGGUAAAAAGGAUCUAGCUCGGACGGGUGAUCCUAUCUUGAUAUAGCCCUUCCGAAGAAUAUGUGUAAAAUAGAUUUAGCCCGGAUGGGUAAUCCGAAUUAGAGUCUGAAUUUAGCCUGGACUGGUAAUUCAGAUUCAAGCUCAUUAGAGUAAUUGUCGUUGCAGGGGAUUUAGCCUGGACUGGUAAUCCCGACAAUACUCUAUGAGUUUAUAUUACAGGGGAUUUAGCCUGAACUGGUAAUCCCAGCAUAAGGAUGAGGUUUGCGGGAGUGUGCUCUCUGAUAUGGAAUGUGUAAGACCAUGGUUGAAAGAUACCAUGACAACCUGAUAUGAAAUGUGUAAGACCAUGGUUGAAAGAUACCAUGGCAACCUGAUAUUAAAUGUGUAAGACAUGGUUGAAAGAUACCACGACAACGUGAUAUGAAAUGUGUAAGACCAUGGUUGAAAGAUACCAUGACAACGUGAUAUGAAAUGAAUAAGACCAUGGUUGAAAGAUACCAUGGCAACCUGAUAUGAAAUGAGUAAGACCAUGGUUGAAAGAUACCAUGGCAACAUGACGGGAAAAUGAAUAAGACCAUGGUUGAAAGAUACCAUGGCAACGUGAUAUGAAAUGUGUAAGACCAUGGUUGAAAGAUACCAUGGUAACUUGAUAUGAAAUGAAUAUGACCAUGGUUGAAAGAUACCAUGGCAACCUGACAUGAAAUGAGUAAGACCAUGGUUGAAAGAUACCAUGGCAACAUGACGGGAAAAUGAAUAAGACCAUGGUUGAAAGAUACCAUGGCAACAUGACAGAAAACGAGUAAAACCAUAGUUGAAAGAUACUAUGACAUCAUGUCGAAGAUAAAUAAGAUUGAGGAAGAGAAACGCCAAGAUAUCUAUUGAACAAUCGAUAUUCAGGUAAUAUGUAUGAGAUGGAAUGGUUAUAUGAAAUGGUUGUGUGAAAUGUUUACAGGAAUUGGUCAUAUGGAAAUAUAUGUACAAAAUAGUUGUAUGAAAUAAUUAAGAAGAUAGAUAAAUAAAAUAAGUAUAGGUACAUGGAAUUUAAUUUAUGUUAAGUUUAAUACGAACUAUUACCGAAAUAAAUAUAUACAAGAUAUAAGGAAAUGAUGGUGCAUGAAAUAUUGAUAUAACGAAAUGAAUGAUAUAUGCUUAUGAAGAAAUAGUAAGAGAAUAAUAUAUUUUGUGACAUGUACAUAUAUAAUUAUCUUUGAUAUGUUGAUACAAGGAAAUUAUGUAAGUUGAGACUAUUAUUAAACUCAAGUGUGAUAUGUUGAGAAAAUAGGUAUAUCAAUGUUGAAUUUAUAUGAAAUAUGUGCAAGUAUACUAACAAUGUUGUUGUUUGACGCUUAGACAAGUGCCAAGCUAUUGACUGAAUGGUAACAUGUUUAAUUAUAAGGAGCAUUGAAAUGGUAAGUACUUAGAUGAAAAUAUAAUUUAAGAUUUUGCAAAUUUUUUUUAUGAUCUCGAUUUUAUUUCAGUUGGUUUCUAAUGUAUGUUUUGGGCUUCGAGGGCCCAAUAGAGAGACGUUAUGAUUAUUUCAAAAUAUGAAUAAUAAAUUACUCAAAAUUAUCUGAAAAUGUUCAGUAAACUCCUGUAAUGCCUCGUACCCUAUUCCGGCAAUGAAUACGGGUAGGGGUGUUACAAAUUAUACAAUUAAUCCCUAUUUUUUUUUUAUUUUAAGCAUUUUUUUCUUUUAUGUUCUUUUGAGUUUCCUUUUUUUUUCCCAUUCUCUUUUACUUUUCCAUUUGUUUUCCUUCAUUCUCUAUCUCUUUUAACGUGAUUUUUUUAUGUUUACUAUUUGUUAAAACAUCCGUUCCAAGGGUUACCAUAGUCUUGCUGAUGGUGAAGAGGUCGAGUACGUUGUCAAGACUUUUGAAGGUCGCCCCAAGGCUAUUGAGGUUACUAGCCCCGAUGGCAACCCUAUUCGUUGCUCCUUCAAAUUCGGACAAUGCGGCGGCAGUGGUGGAUCGAUGGAGGGGAAAGGAAAGGCGGUUACGGUGGAUGUGGUGGCGGGUGUUAUAAGUGUGGUGAGAUAAACCAUUUAGCAUGGGAAUGUAGGUAGGGUGGCGAUGGUGGUGGAUGCAGAUAUGACGGCGGCGGCAAUGCUUAAAUGUGUCCUAGUAGUAGCUACUAAUUUUAAUUAGGGGUUUAAAUGUGUCAUUCACAUUUCUCCGGUCCAUCCCUUUUUCCUUUUCUACUACUGUUUCUGUCGGUUUCGUUAUUGUCGUAUAGUUUGCUUUUUAUGUUUUUUUUUCCAAUUUAUGCAAAACGAUUUCUCUUAGUCAAUUUGUUUUUAUUUUGAAGUUGGCAAUAGUUGUAAUGGGUGCUUUCGUAGUGGUCUUACAGUGAGGGUGGACAUUAGUAUCGAUGGAAACAACGAUAAAGAAUAAAAUGAUGUUAAAACUCACUGUCAUCAAGUGUUUAUAUAGAUAUCAUAUAAAAAAGAAAAAAAAUAAAUUGUUCAAAAAAUAAAAGUAUAGGGGUUAGUUUUAACAAAUGAAAAACAUAGAAAAACUACACAAAGAGAAAUGGAGAAGGGAGGAAAGCAAAAUGAGAAAUAGAAGAGAAUAGAAAAUGAAGAAAAAAAAAAGAAAGUUAAAAGAACAUAAAAGAAAAAAAUAAAUUGUUCAAAACGGAAAAAUAUAGGGACCAAUUGUAUAAUUUAACCUAAAAUUUUCAUUUGAAAUAAUGAUUUAAUAUGCCACAUCAACUUAUUGUUACACCGUUAACGGUAAUUAAUGGCUUAGUGACUAAAACGUUACAACUCGAUGAUGUAAGUGACUAAAGCGUAACAUUUCAAACAUAAGUUACUAAUAUGUAAUCUGAGGCAAACAAAAGUGACUAGUUUGGUAGUUUACCUUUUUUUUAGUCUAAUAUGACCAUUAUAGAUAAAACAAAUCAAAUAUUUUUUUAAAUUUAUUUUUUGUCAACAUGUAUAUCAUAUCUCGAAUGAUGUAAGUCAGUACAAACCAAAAGUUACACUAAAACGAAAAGUAAAGUUAAGAAUUGUUUGGACAACACAGAGUAAUUGAAUGAUAAUUACUAGAGUAGUAAUUACAAAAAAAUUGUAAUUCUCUAGACAUGUUUAUCUAAUAGAGUGUAAUUACAUUGUAAUUCUCUGUGUCAUGUUUGGUAGUACAAAUUGUAAUUACAUAGUUACAUAAUUUAUAUUGUUUAAAAAAUAUUAAUUAUUAUAAAAAAUUAUUAGCAUGAUAAAAAUAAUUUAUAAGAAAGUAACAAAAAUUAAAAUAAAAUACUCAUGGGCAUUAUUUUAGCCUAAAACAGUAGUUGAUAAUAUGAUACUAUAAAAAUAACAAGAAAAAUACACAUUAGAUGCAAUUUUAUCUAAUUGUUUUGGUGCAUUUUUGUAUGAUUGUUUCCUUUUGUAUCUAACAUAUGCUCAAUAUUAUCAUCUAUUGAUCAUUGGUUGAGUUUAUCAUUAUCUAAAUUUGAAUCUGCAUCAUUAAUAUCAUCAAGAUUUCCUUCUUCCAUGUGCUCUACAAAGUAUAGAUCAUCUCAAUUUCACUUAUACUUGAAGUUGGCCAAACCACCUAAGCUCUAGGUCCAAUGUGAGUAGGAUCACUAAGCCACGCUUCAUAACUGGAAAUAUAAUCAUCGUGGAAAUACAUGUUGCUCAGGCAAAGAAAGAUGAUGGAGAGUUAACCAAAAUGGGCACUCAAUAUUUUGCGAGAGAUCUUUUCCAAAUCACUGGUAUGGCUAUCGAAAUCGUGAGCAUCAACAUGUAGGUUCCAUAUCCAAGUGGUAGUAGCAGGUCCCUUAGCUAUUGUUCUUGAGAAGUGGCUUGGUCUAACCUAUUGCUCGAAAGAAGUUUUUACGAUAUCCCUAUUUACCAAAAUUAUGAAAUAUGCAACAUGCUAGUAUGAUUCAACAUUUUUUCAUGCUAUACUAAGGUAAAGUUGUUAAUAUGAGAAAUAUUUUCCUAGAACAAAAAAUAUAUUUUCAACCACAUUUCAAAGUCUUGAAUGUCUUAAAUUAAAGAAUUUAUGAGUUGUUUAUGGUGUUCCUACUUGGCACUAUUAUCUCAAAUAGUAUCAUACUCCAUAAUACGGUACAAGAAAACAUUUUCUAUUUGCACAAUCAAUAUCGACCUUAUAAUAUAGUUCAAAUAGUUUGUAGCUUUAAUUAUAAAAACUUAUAUAAAUUUAAUUUAGAAAAACACUUAUAGUUAUAUGCCUUUUUAUAAUACCUAAAUUAAAUUAAAAAUAUAAAAUUUAUAAUAUAUAUAACCUUUAUAAACUUUCAUAACACUUAUUAUAAAUAAUAUAAUUUUUUGUCAUAAAUUUAAAAAAUUAUUUUUUUAUAAAUAAAUUAUGAUAUAAUAUCUUUUAUGAAUAAGUAUAUAUAUAUUUAUAAUAUAUGACAAGGAUACAUAAAUAAAUUAUGUCCUUGAUAAUAACUUUUAUAAAUAAAUAUAUUAUAACAUUUUUAUAACAAUUAAAAAAUAAAAAUUUUGACCAUAACUUUAGAAUUUAUUUUAGGAUUUAAAUAAUAUAUAUUUUUGUUAUAACUUUAUAAAUACACACAUUAUUUUUAUAAUAUAAUUAUUUUUAAAUUUAUAAUAUAAUUUUUUUUGCUAUAACCCUUCUAAAUACUUAUAUGUGUUUAUACUUAUAAUAUAAUUUUUAUAAUUUGAAUAAAAUAAUUUUUUAAAAUCAGAUAUAGAUGUAAUUAGCUGUUUAAUUAUACUUAAAUCAAAUUAUUAAGUGAUUUUCUCAACACUACUCAAAUCUAAUUAUUACGAUGCUUUUUAAAGAAACAAAAUUUAGAAACCCAUAUAGAUUAUCAAUGUAAAAUUGGCUUCUUUAAUAUAAACUCGAUUAAAUAAAACAUCAACGUGUGGAGAAAUGAGUAGUUGAAAAGUUAGGAAGAAAUGGAGGCUUGCACCAAUUGUAUAUAAGAUUGAUCGGUUAAAGACAAGUUUUCAGUAUUGUAAAUUGAGUUUUGUACGCAGGAGUACUAACCAGGCUGCAGACUGGAUUGCAUCCAGGUAUAAAAAGGAUAUGUGUAUUGAUAAUAGUGGGAAUUUGGUCUUCAUUCUUGAUAAGGAUGGUUUACCGGCGCCUCCUGAGAAUGUUUGAUUCUUUGGUAUAGGAGAAGCUUGUUGUCUUUCUCUAGUGUACUUGGUUGUGGUGAGAGUUUAGUCUGUUACUAUGUGGAGCGUUGUUUUCUCUUGGUAAUUUUUCAAUACUGUGUACCAUUGAUGUUUGAUGAUCAAUGAAUUUUGAUUCUUUACUGUUUUGAUGAUCAAUGAAUUCUGAUUCUUUCUGACAAAAGAAAAUCAACUUAAAUUUUAAUUCUGAAUCUUGAUAUUUUAUGUCGAUAUUCAGUACUCCCAUUUGCGGAGAUAAAUUAGAAUACAAUGCAAAAUUUGAAGGAAAUAAAAGAAUACGAUGAUAAAUUGGAAUUUUGUUAUGAUAAUAUAACAGAUUUCCACGGAGGGGAUGAAAUCUGUUAGGUGGGCCGCCCCAUCAUCCGUUGGGCAUCUAAACCUCGGUUGUAAUAAGAAAAGGAUUACAGGGACAGUCUAGACAAUUGACUGGCCUCAGAAACAAGCGCAUUACGCACCAUGCAUACGAUAAUACUUUCUAAUACGUUGCAAUUUUGGCGUUUCCAGUUCCAAGAAGCCCACAACAAGACAUAGAUUUCCCUUUUCCCGCUUCUUUUCCACAUUUGCAGAAAUUUACUCGAAAACUGACCAUUUUUCCCCCUCUCACCCUACGAGUAUUACUCUGCCAGUCCACUUUUCUCUUCGCUUCUUUCAACUGUCGUUCAAAGUCGCCGAGCAAAAUCGAAAAUCCAGUGCACUUUAAUUAUCCGCUGAAAAGUGAGCCGUUAGAAAUUACAUCUCUCUCAAUUUCAAUUAUUCUCGGAUCGGAUACCCUUCUAAAUGUUAUUUCACGUUUUCUUUUAGAUGUAAAUUUAAUUAUGUUGUGAAUCUAUGGCGGUGAUCUCUCAUGUUUUUCUUUUUUCUGUUUAUGACUUUCACCUUUUUCCUUGAUUUUACUUCAUACUUUUUUUUUUUAUCUUUCUUAUACUGUUUGGAUUCAAAUUUAUGCUGUUGAUUUUUCUUUUCUUUUGAAUUUACUGUUCAUGAUCUUUUAUUGUGAUUGUGUACAAUUAGAGUUGAAUCAUUCGCGUUGUAUAUUUUUUCUGGUUUUCUUGUAGUAUGGGAUGAUCGAUUUUGAGUUAAAUAUCUACUUUUUUUUUAAUGAUUUCCUUUGAGACCUGACGAUUUGGUGCUUCUUCCUUUGCUCUAGGGUUUGUUUGGUUGGAGGGAGACAACAAAGUCAGAGAAAAAACAGCUAAAAGCUUGACAUCUCACGAGAAAAUAGAGAGAUCUCCUAAGAUUAUAUCUCGAACGGAGUUGAACCAUGAACUUGAAAUUUGCAUUUUCUCAAUUGCUCACUCCACAGGUUGCUUCUAGUAGCAGUGUCUGAAUUGUGCAUAUCAAGAGAAAAUUGUGAGAAUGGAAGUAGACGUGAGGCAAAGCUUACGAGAAGUAAGUAGGAAAAAGUGUCAGUUUAUUAAGCUUCAUUUUCCUUUUAUUGAACCAUGUCGCCUCUUUCUUGCUCCAAUGGUUUGUACUCAAUAACUUACAGAUCUGCAGUUUUUGUUGCUAGAGGGCCUGCUUAUCAUAAGUGUGACUGGAUUAGCAUGUUAGUUUUAGAAUAUCUAUUAUUUUAUUUAAAUAGAAUAUGAUGGUACUUAAUAGUACUUAAUUAGUUCUGCUGUUCUAUUCAAUUACGUGCAUUGUCUUUCAUGAGUAGAUUAUUUUCCAGUUAUUGCAGUUUGUAGGUCUCGUUUUCCUGGAAUGUCUAAGUUACUUCAUUUUGACACUUUUGAAUACUAUUUUAAUUUUAAUUGGUCUAAUUUAUAGUUUAUAGAGCAAAAUUAAUAACAGUGAACUGGUAUUCUUGUUACUGCAUUAAGAUUCCAGUAAAUUACGGCAACUCCAAUAACUGCUGCAAGAAACUUUGUGUCUGAAUUCUGAUGCCUAGAAAUUUUUUUCCCUUUCAGGAUCAGAUGAGUGACUGUCGAAGUUUUGGCAGCAAUUUUCAUCCAUCCAGCCAAUCUAGAAAGAUUUCGAUAGGAGUUAUGGUAGAUUAUUUAGCUAAGAGAAAACCUGGAAGCACCAAGGAAGAUCAGGAUAAACGGGCAAAUGCAGAAAGAAUCAAACCUAGCAUUGGAAUUUCCUUAGAGGGAAAAAACAAAGGGGACGCUGUCACAACUUCUGAGGGGAAGCAAACUGAAGAUGCUGGGAAGGUGAAAUCUCCAUGGAUUACUCCCAGAUCCUUGCAUAGAAAGGCUCUUGCUCCAGAGACUGCCUCCUUACGGGAAGAAACUUCCAACCCUAGACAGAAGAAACUUAAUAAAGCGGAGGAUGUGCCAGAAACAUAUUCAUUUCCUUGUUCUCCAAACCAAAACUUUAAUGCACAUAAUAUUGGUAGCAAGCAGAAUAAAUUUGAUGGCCUCAUUAAUGGCUUUGCCAACCAAAGGAAAGGCAGGAAGGAUGGCAACUCACAGAGGGUGGAGGAGUUAAAUUUUGCAAAUGCAUCAAAAGAUAAAGUGGAGUUAAAGCACAAGGCAGGUAAAACUCAAAACAUACAAACUGAAACUUUGAAACAGAAGCUGCAGGAGCUGUUUGGCACUGUUUCUUCACCAAAAAGUCUGCAAUCUAGUUUACAGUCUCAUAAGGUCACCGCCAAUAAUUCAAAACAAGAGAGAAGUGCUGAUCAUGUGGUGGACACAGCUGUAAAGCCGAGACAAAAUUCAGUUACUUUAGAAAUUGUUUCAGACAAUCCUAAUACGACUGUUAAGACGCCAGUAACCUGUCCCUUGAUCCAAAAGCGAUCUCCCGCAAAAGUGCAGCUUGCCAACACUAAAAUUGGUUUAUCCUCCAAGCAGAAACAUGGAGAUAGCAUCUUCUCUUUUGGUGAAGGAAGAUCUGCAAAGCUAGAUGGUACUCUCAAUGGUGGUUCAUUGUUGCCCCGGAAAAGGAAAACUGCGAAGAAAAGUUCUAAAAUUGAUCCACAUCAGGUCUGUUUUCCUGAAGAAAACACUGCAGAUGAGAUUAAGCAAACGACAUAUAGGACUGAAACUCCACCGCCUGCAAAGCUAGCUGGUACUGUCAAUGGUGGUUCGUUGUUGCCCCAGAAAAAGGGAACUGAGAAGAAAAGUUCUAAAAUUGAUCCACAUCAGUUCUGUUUUCCUGAAGAAAACAAUGCAGAUGAGAUUAAGCAAACAACAUAUAGGAGUGAAACUCCACUUCCUUCAGAGAAGACUUCUAUACUUGGUAAUAAGAUCGAAAGCCUUCUUGAUUCCUUUAGUGAGAAGGGGAGUGAAAACUUUGAGAAGGUUCAAGAAAAGGACACUUUCCAUCCUCCAUUGACCAAUGAGAGAAAUCAGCAGAGUAAUUUUGACAAUCCACCAUCACCAGAAAAAGGGGAUAAACAAGAAGAUGAGGGAAAUACAUCCUUGACGAAUUUUGUACAAACACAAGAUGAUAUCCGAAGUCCAACUUUUGGAUUCAAAACACCCAUUCUAAAUACUUCUGCGAGCCCAACACCAAAAAUUGUUGAGAUAGAGCAAGGUACUUGCAGUCCUGUACCCUUUGAGAGAGGACUUACCAUUGGAAAUUUUGGGAGCUUCAGGACUUUCCAAACUUCUGGACCUUUUAGUACAUCCAAUGCAGAAUCUCAGUCACCUGUAUCCUUUACUAAUCUUUCAGGAUUCUGAUAUGGGAGUUGAAUUUAUAUAUCUAAACUUGAGUUUGUGCUUCCUUAUUGAGAUCCAGGAAGAUACAGGGAAGCAUACUAAUUCUUCCCUCGGGGAGCCAAUGCCUGGUAAGGAAACAAUUGAUGCAGUAAAUGAGCAUUUUGAAUCAUCAUCGGCAUCAGAACAGCAGUGGUCAGGAAACUUUGAAGAAGGAUCACCCAUUAUUAAAAACUAUGAUUGUAAGUAUAUAAAAUGCUCCUCUGAAACACAAUAUAUGCAUUUCUCCUAACAUUUAUUAGGGAACUCCAUUUGGGAUAUGACUUACCAGUAAUUACUUCUCAAUAAUAAAUUAAUUGGAUGAGAAGAAUUCAUAUGUGCCCUUCUGGCUCACAUGCUAGACAUUCUACCUGAUUUAUUACUGCUGACUGAUUCAUUAUCAGUUGUUUAUUUUCCAUAAGUAGAAAGAUUGGAAAGUUGCAGUUUAAUUUUGGCCUCAUUCUUGAUAUCACACCCUCCGCAUGUCUUUAUAAUUGAACGUUUGUAUUCUCUCUAGGGAAACUGUUUAGAGCAAAAAUCAUAUCAUAAAACUACUUCACCGUUGGGAUUGCUGUUAGCUAUUUUUAAUAUCGUGCCAUGAACGAUUAAACUAUUAAAUUCGUGGUAACUUAUCCUUUGGAGAAGAAUUGUUGGUAACCCGUCCCAUAAUUGCUCCAAGUUUUCUUAGGCUAUUUGGCUGUGUUUCCCAAUAUGCAUGCUUAAUUAACUUCACAUGCUCAACCCACUGUUCAUUGUGUAUAGUGUUAUGCAUCAGCAUAGAUUCUUCUUAUUUCUUCUUCUUUUCUGAUUUCGAAAUUCUCCUUCUUAAUGGGUACUCCUUCGAUUGUUUAUCUGAUGAUGUUGUCAAGGUCACAGAGAAAAUCUGACCUCACCGGAGACUGUUAUUUCUGAGAAACCAAAUUUUGUGUAUUGCCCAAUCAAGCGGCUUCGAAAUGAAGAUGUCAAACUUAGUCAAUUGAGUCCCACCUCAUCCUCCCCAAAAGGCACAACUUCUUAACAUUUGAACAUCUACCGCUCUUCCUACCUACCCAUAGCUUUCUUUCUAAAGUAGUUCUUCUCUAUUUUUCUUCAGAAGGGGCAGGAAUUGGAGAAAGCUAUUGGUUCCAGGAACACUUGGAACAAGACCAAGAAGAUGAAUUGACAAGGUCCUCAUUUAUAUCUAAACAAAGAUUAAGAAAUACCUGCUAUUAGUAUAUGUGGACCAUCUUCUUGAUUGAGUUGACUUUUGCUUGGUAAUGUUUCAGGGCUAUUACAUUGUUAGCUUUGGCUUUAGAAACAUUUAAACGCAAAAUAGACUCAUCUACUACAAAGAAGUCCACCGAGAUUUUGAUGUCCAUUUCUGAGGAGAUGAAGUCAAUGUUGCUGAAUGCUGAGGCUCAGAUUGAAUCUGAUGUGUAUGUAUUUAAAGCUGAAAGCUUUGCUUACCCACAUUUUGAUACUUAAGCUUUGUUUUUCAUAAUCUUUCAGAGGGAAAUUGACUAGUCUCAGUAAAACAAAAAGGAAACGCCUGGAAACAAGAUUGCAAGGUGACAUUUUUUUUAUUAACUAAUUAGCUUGAUUGACCUUAAUAAGAUUCCAUUGGCUCCUAUUUGUAUUGAAAAAGUUCUUAUAUGUAUCAUGAACUAAACUAUUUGUUUAUUUUACCAAUCUCGAUGUUACAGAUAAGAGCCCCAAAUAUGUGCCUUUCCACUUGUAGUUCACUGGUCUGGCACAAUGAGCUACAUUUAGCCUUGGUGUUUGAAUGUCUACUUUGGUCGCACACAUAUGUGCCAAUGGAUUAAGCAUGACAUACAAGGUUUUGUAUCAGAGGCAUGCUAUGAACAUGCAGUCAUGUUUUUAUUGAGAACGCACAUGCUUUUACCAAAAGGCAUGUAUGGGGAUCCUACUUUCUGUGAGAAACUUGAUUGCUGGUAUAUGGUGGAAAGCAAGUGAUGCUAGUGUAUCCGUGCUAACACAGUUUGACCUUUCUUUUCUUUUCAUUUGCACUUGUAUUAUAAUAACCUUGAGACAGGAGUGCUAUCGGUCUUAUGGAUUCUCUUAUUUUAUAUUUAUCUUAGUAAAUUUAACUGUCAAGGAGGCAUUGAUGAUUUUCUUUUUGAUUUGCUUUAUUUUCUCACAGAGCAACAAGAACUAUUGAAGCUGAUACUUGAAAAGUUCAAGGAGGACAUUCAUCGUCAUCUGUUGGAUUGCAGUAGUAUCCUUGAAGGGAUGGAAGCUCACCAAAAUGAACUAAAGGGAACCAUGAAGAAACAAAGUAUGGCAACUUUUAAUUAUUUUGAAGAAAUUCCUUAACCAUGACUGCGUUAUUGCAUAUUGUUUUUGUAUAUGUUUCCUUUUUUGCUUAAGCAAAAAUGUGAUUCCAUUUGCCCCAUUACGAGACAGCAUGCUUUCCUUGUUACUGACACCUGGUGGUGAAGCUAUUUCCAUUGAACUUUUCGUUGGUGGUUAUGGAGUAAUUUUAUGUGGGAUAUUUCUUGGGACAAUAUCUGCGAUUCAUUGGGAUAUUGAUUGAUUCUGAAUGCAUGGCUAUUUCGUUUUACAUAAAUUACUUUUAUUUCAGUGUUUCUUGGAUAUGACCUCAUCUAGGGUAUUGCGAUGCAUCCCAAUUAUGAACAUUGGUCUAAAGGAUUAAUAAAUUCCAUGGUGUUCUAGGUCCCAUUAAUACUUACGUUUUGAAAACUCAGCAUUAGUGGUUGCAUUCAGGAAUAUAGUAUUUAUGACUUUCACCGCCAUAUUCUCAUAUUUUAGAAUUAUUUAUUGCAGGCUGUAACAUUUUAAAAACUGGCUACACUGCAACAUUAAACCGCUUACUUAGAUUUAGAAGCAGCUAACAGUUCAUUUGAAAUUAGAAUUCGAUGUAUAGUCAUAGAAUUAUGUUUGAGUUUGACAGUCUUAGUGCAUGUAUAUAGAUAGUAUUAUGAUCAAACAAUAUUGUGCAUUUUGAAUGCCUGAUGUAUAGUCAUAUUACAGAAGUGUCACACCAGAAGCUUCUCAUGCAUGCGGAAGAAACAGCUAAAAUCCAACUCAAUAAUGCUGAAAAAAGAAUCAAAGCUGUCCGUGAGGCAAGUUUUUCGUUUCUGUUUAUAUUAGUGCUAGCGUUUCCACAAUUCAGGCACAUGUGUAAUCCACAUAUUACGUUGGGCACCCACUGCCCAAAUGCUUGGUUCUGGAAAUAUGGUGAUACGGUUACCAAACCUUGGCGAGAGGUUUAGAUAUAUUAAUUGGGUGCCACUAGACCGUAAGAUUUGUGUGGGCUUGGUAAUCUAUGCUGUUGGGUAUACAGCACGCUUUUAUGGAGUUCCAUCACUAAGUACUGAUGGUUAACAAGUUUAUGCUGGAAUCUAUUGUUGUUCCAAUAGGGUCAGAAGCGUGUAAAUUAUUGUACUAAAAAAUCACACAAAGUUCAAUUUCCAGGAAAGAGAGGUGGAUCACAUGGAUAUCUUAAAUACCAAGUCUUUCAUUAGUCAGAAUAUCCCUUCUAUAGUAAUUUAAUAGCAUAAUUAAAUACUACUAUUAUACCCUCAAAUAUUGAAAGAAAAAUAGGACAAGAAAGAACACAAGAGUUUUAACGAGGUUCGGUAAAUUAUACCUACGUCCUCGGGCAUUAACACCAGAUGAUAACUUUACUAUCUUCAAAAUAUUAUAAACAAAUAGAAUUCUUUAAGAAUUCUCAAAUGGGAGAAGAAAGAAAACUAAGAGAGAAAGAUUGGUUGGGAUGGUGUAAAUGAGAAAUGGUUAAGCCUAUUUAUAGUUGAGGUUCAGGGACUAACUUGCAAAUGGCCUAAAAAAUUAGGGACCAAAAUUACAAUUAUCUCAUUUAACUUUAAACAACUUGCCUACCAUUUUUUCCUUUAGGUGCCACUUGCACCUCCUAUUUUUUUUGACUUUUCAACACCCCUUUUAAUUUGACUUUUCAACAUCUAUCAGUUGGUACCCACUUUCUGCUGAGUCCUCAUACUUGGGAUAUUCUUCAUAGACCAUUCAUUUUUAGCACUCAAAUUCUUCAUUUGUGUUUUAUAACUGAAUGUUUUAUACCCUGAAUAACAUACAUGUUUAUCAUCCUGAUUUAAUGCAGUCGGCGAGGGAAAAGAUGCUCCAGGUGAAACAUGUAAUAGCUGAGUGCUUGAACGGUAUAUGCUAAACUGAGAGGCCUGAAGAUUGACUUGACAUCCUAUGACAUAUGAAGUUUGACUUGGAAAAUUUUGCAUGUCCAUAUAUUUUCCUAAUACCUUAUUCUACUUUAGCUCCUUGAUUAUUCACUUAGUUUACCCAAUAGAAUUAGAACCUUAUCUGUAAUAGUGGACAAUCACUUUUUGUUUGCGUGGACUGUACUUCCGUUCUUGAUGCCUAUGGUGCUGGAGUAGUGAUAGAUUUUUAUUAUUUUAGAUAAAAAAUGUAAAGAAUCUCUGUGACUACGGAUAAUUAGAUUUAUGGCCCGCAAAGAUGAGACUUUUCCUCCCAAGCAUUUUUAGAGGAUUUUGAAUGCAGAAAGCAUUUUGGAGAUUCCAAUAUUGAUUAUAAGUACAUUAUAUCUGUAGUAACUCUUUUGUUGGCUGUCAUCUGCGAACUGAGAUGGAGCCACUGGUAUUUUGGUCGGUUAUCUUUCCAAGUUCAUCAUAAUGAAGGAAAACGAUGGUACAAUUUUCUUUGUUGUAAUGUUGUUUGCCGCUGCAUAUUUGCAGACAUUAGCGGGAGCGAUAAUCCCGGUGAUCUUAUCCUUGGCAUUAUACUUGUAUUGAAUUAUUUAACUUAAAAAGUAUGUUUGUGCCCAGGGGCCGGUUAUGGAGUUAGUUUCUUCAUAUUUCACGCAAGUCUCUAUUCCCCACAAUCACAGCAAGAGAUGUCUUCAAUUUUCUUUUUCUUUUUCCCCUAUUCCACCACUCCUUUUUCUAUGCCCCACCAUCCGCUGUUCGGUGUGAUAUAACGAAACUAAUUUGCCAUUGUGGUCUUUUUCAUCAGCAUGGGUGAUGGGACCAAAGAAAAAAGCAAACCCAAAUAAAAUAAAAUAAAAAUAGAAGACAAUAUGGUCUUUAUUUGGCGGAACACUGUUGCAAGAGACCAGGUGAGGAAAUUUCUGGGGUUUCUCAGGCAGACACGCCAGUCUUGAAAACGAAAGACUUCGAAAAUCGGGCGUAUUGAAUAUGGGAUUAGGUUCUCCAAUUGAGAUGCAUUUAAUGUUGGUUGAGUUUGGGGCUUUCAUCGUAGUCAUGAUUGUGGUGGCCUGAGACCCUCCGUAGCACUGUCGCUCUCUAUCUAUCUGUCUGUUUUCUCCUAGAGGAUUGAUUGGUCAUGGUUUUGCUUCGUCGACCCUGUUAAUUUCUGCCUGAAAGACGAAAAUGUCCAUCUAAAGAAAAAGGAAUAGAAAAAGUACAAGGCAAGAAAACAUAGGGGCACGUGAACCAUAGGGUUGAUCACGUGAUGUACACGCUUUUUUCUUCAAUAUUUGUUCAGUUAUACCAUGAGAUGCGAGGGGAGGAUUUGAUUCGAUGCUAGUGAACGCGACUAACUAUAGAAAUGGGUUAUUGGAAGGCGGUGGCUCCACUUGGGACUGUGGCUACUCCUGGUCCUGACCCCCCAUCCACGUGAGUGAGUGUCAUAGAUUCCUUGGUGGGGCUCCCCCAAAUAUGUUGGCCGAUGUCUUCGUCACGUUUUGAACCUUCGUUUUCCAUUUCAAGAUAAUGAAGAUAAUGAAAAUGAUCGCCACUGUUCGUUCAUUGGCAUUCUGCUUAUUCAUGCUGAUUGUCAACUCAAUUACCAUUUUGGUGUGGUUUUCAAUUAAUCACCUACUAACUGCCAACUCAAUCACCAUUUUGGUAUGGCUUUCAAUUAAUCACCUACUUCAAGUUUUAGUAAUAAUUAUUGUAUUAAUGCUUCAUCCAACCCUUCUUGACCCAGCAACAUGCACUCCAUUCUUUUUUUAGACAUUCCAUUCUUGGUGAUAUUUUUAGGAUUGAUGUAUUAAUUGGGGUUAGAAUUUUGUAGUUAAUUUUAUACUAGAGUUUAAUUUUAUUUUAAAAUUAUUCUUUGAACAUGAAAAUUAGUCUUUAAAUUUAAAAAUUACAUCAAUAUUGAGACUUGAACAUUUUUUUUCGAAUUAACUUUUAUAUAUCUUUAAAAAGAACUUGAAUAAAUUAACGUUAAAUGUAAAAAUUAACUUAGAUUUGAAUAAAUUCAAUCUUAAAUAUAAAAAAAAACAUUAAAAUCAGUUGAAUGGGUAAAUUUAAUCUAUUACUAUGUUGAGGCUUAAAAAAAGGAUUAACCCAUGUAAAUUUAUUUUAUCUUUCAAGAAAAAAGAAAUCUGUUUGGACACUUUAAAGUUUUCGGGUACAAGUAUAUAUGUGACAUAUGAACGGAAAAGUCAAAGAAUAAAAUAUACCCUUAGAUACUUGCAAAUAUGUAUCUACUUAGAUUCUCAUCUAAUAUUUUAUUUGGAAAGCUUUAAAAUAUAUUAUUUGGAAAGACCACGGAAAAUUUUCUCUACCAAAAACAACAUAAAAUGAUUAAAAUAUGCCAUAUAUUCACCUAUUCUAAUUCCUAUAUUUUUAUUUUUUAAAUUUCAGAUUUAAUUAUUAAUAUUGUUAAAAUUAUUUUAUUAAAUUCAUGUUCAUUAUAAUAUUAUUUUUUUUAAUUACAUUGUUGUCAAGUGAGUAAUUUUUUUAUUUUAAAAUAUCACAUCAACACUAUGAUAAAUAAUUGCAGUGCAUUUUCUAGAGGCAAUGACGAUGCAUAAUAUAAUAUUUUUAAUGCAACUUAGUAUUAGUUAAAUGUUAGGUAACCAGUAUGUCGAUAUUUACUUACAUUUUGUUUUGAGUGCAAAGAACAUUGAGAACAAAUACAAAUGAUAUUAAUGUGAAUAAUAGAAUCUUAUUAAAUCAAUCUAUUUAAAAAAAUUAUAAGUACAAAUGACUUAGAACACUAAAUCCUAACAUCAUCAAUCCCAACAACAUAUUAUCUGCCAUCACCGUCUCUAGCACCAAAUUAUACACCACUCAUAAUGAACACAUUAUGGUUUGUGGCGUGCAUUCGGCAUGACGUUUUUGGUGAUUUGCCUUUUUUUACAUUUGUAAUGAUGUUUUAUAUAUUUUAUUCGUUUAAUUCAGGAAACUUAUAAUUUAUUCUAAAUGUAUUUUGUUUGUUUAAUUCAUUUGAGAAAUACUUAGUUUUUUUUAUACUAUUAUUUAAAUUUCUAAUUGAAUUGGAGUUAUAAGUCAAUUAAGCACUAACUCAAUAAGAAAAAUUCUAAAAAUGUCAUUUCGUUUUUAAAAUAUGUUAAAUUGUUCAAUGACACUUUAGUAUUUUAUUUAAAAAAGGAAAUAAAAAAUUUACUUAGAAUGGGAUUUGAACUCAUGCCAUUUUUAUUAAAAAAACUUAAUUUUACCUCACAACUCCUUAAGGUACUAUAUUUUAUACAUUUUAUUAUUAUGCAUGUAGACACUAAAUUCAAUCAGGAUCUAAAAAAAUCAAAAUUUUCUGAUCGAAUUAGACUAUUUAAAAAUGGGUGAUUUUAAAAGUGGUUUUCUCUCUGUAGCAUGUAUAUGUUUGCUAUCUGUAGCAUGUUUUUGUGAUUUAUGUUUAUUUCAUUAUUUUCUAGUUUUGAUGGUUUACAUCGGUGUUUUUUACUAGUUUUGUUUUCUACAUGGAAAGGGAAAUUGAGAGUCUUAGCAUAGAGGAUGGAGAAGAAGAAGAAUGGUUUCUUCCAAUUGAUGUUGAAUUGCGGAAAUCAGUUCACGAGCUUUGUUUGGUAGGGUGUUUUCAAAUGGAGAGUGUGGUGCACUUCUCGAUUAUGAGAAACACGAUGGCUAACCUCUAGCACCCUUUGAGAUGAGUUUAGAUAUUAGAUUUGGGACAAAAACGCUAUUUGUUCAAUUUUUUUCAUGAGUUGGAUAUUGAGCAAGUGAUUAAUGGGGAUCCGUAGACUUUUAAUAACCAUUUAUUAUUUUUUUUUCACCGCUUAUAGGAAGAUGAAGAAUCGAUAGAGGUUCCUCUUAUUUUCUCAUUGUUUUGGAUUCAAGCUCACGAUCUCCCCCAGGUUUCUUUUCAGAAAAUAUUGCGAAACAAUUUGAUGAUUUUAUUGGAAAAUUCAUAGAAUAUGAUACGAAACAAUUAAAUUUAGGGAUGAAAAAUUUUCUUCGAAUCUGAGUGUAGAUAGAUGUCUGAAGACCUUUGAAGCGAAGAAAGAAAAUUAUGAUCUCUCAAUCGAAAUUUACUUAUGCAAUUUCGGUAUGAAACAUUAACCCUCUUUUUUUUCCUGUAUAGAUGUUUAGGUCAUGGAGAUAAUAUCUGUCCAAUCAAACUUAAUCAAGUUAUGAAGGAAAUAAAUAUGGGUUGGGUCUUGUCUUUGAGGGCAUUAACGAGAAAAGCUACAAGUGUGAAUAGUGUUUGGUUUCGUAAGAAAGUAUACAAUUUGGGGAAAGUGUGAUAUGGGGUAGAAUUCAAGGGAUACGAUGAGUAGAGAAUAAGGGAAAUCAAUAAAUUUCAUAUUAGGAUUUAAUUUAUAAGGAUUCAGAAAUCAAGUAGUUAAAGUUAAGGCGGGACCCUCUAGUGGGAUGGAUAGGGUUGAUAUGGAGAAGGACAUGGAAGAUAGCUUGAUAGAAAAUGGGGAUGGGAAGAAAAGGCUAAGGUUUGAAAAUAUAGUUUUUAGCGUUUUCGUUUCUGUAGAUUCAUUAAGGUCCACUAAUGAGUGGAUUAUUGCUCAAGUACAACAAAGAUUGGUACCUGUCAAUAGGCAAGCAGACCAGGAGUAAUAAAACUCUUAACCUGGAAUGUCCGCGAACUGGGAAACUCGUGUACUAUUAGAAGGCUUCAACAUAUGUUAAAGAAAUAUUGUUCCCAAAUUGUCUUCUUCAAGAAAACGAAGUUAAAUAGCCCUCAGAUGGAAAUGUUGCAUAAAAGAUGUGGGUUUUAAAAUGGUAUUGUGUUUCUAGCUGAAGGAACACAAUGGGGUCUAUGUUUAGCUUGGAAAUAAGGUAUCAAUGUUUAACUUUGAAGUUAUUCGAAGAAUUAUAUUGAUGUGAUCAUUAAAGAAGAGGGAGAGAGUCUUGAAUGGAGGAUGAUAAAGUUUUAUGGGGCACCGAUAUUUGUAACAAAGAGGAAAACAUGGAAUAUCUUGAGGCAGUUAGGAAGGGAUUAAAACUUUCAGUAGAUGGUUUGUGAGGAUUUUAAUGAAAUAUCAUAUGCUUAUAAAAAAAUGAGUACCAAGGGAAGAGAGACGAAUGGAUGAAUUUCACAAGAGAGACGAAUGGAUGAGUUUCACAUUAUGCUUGAAGAAUGUUUUUUAGUGGAUGUUGGAUAUUUGGGGUCUUGGUUCACGUGGGAGAAGGGAAACCUUUUUGUGAAAAAUAAAAUAAAAUAAAAUAAAGAAAAUAAAGAACACACAAAUUUUACGUGGAAACCCUUUCGGGAAAAAACCACAGGCAGAGGAGAAGAAAAUUCACUAUAUCAAAAAAUUUGACUCAAAUACAAGAGGAAUAGACUAUGUUUAUUUAUUGGCUUGCAAAGCCAUAGUCUAGUAGGAUUGAAACACCUUAUCCUAAUCAAUAUAAAAUAGAUGGAGUUUAAUAAGGUUUAAAAACCUUAUUCUAAAAUAAAAUAAAAGAAGUCUAGUUCUAUAUGGAUUUUACUUUUAUUUUAUUUUCCAUCGUAUUUUAUUUAAAUAAGAAUUUGGGUCACUUAAUUCUAACAAUCUCCACCUUGACACAAAUUCUCAAUGAACAAGUUCUUCAUCGCGAACUUUCAAUAAACAAGUUCUCCACCUCUUCCAUAAAACCCCUUAAGGGUUUAACUUCAACAAUGAACACCAACCAAGUCUAAGCAAUGCUCAAACUUAGUUAUAGGAAGUGACUUAGUCAUCAUAUCUGCAGGAUUUUCAUGAGUACUAAUUUUGCUCACAACAAUAUCACCACGAGCAAUAAUAUCACGAACAAAAUGAUACCGAAUAUCAAUGUGUUUUGUUCUCUCAUGAAACAUUUGAUCUUUUGUAAGAAAGAUGACACUCUGACUGUUACAAAAUACUGUGCUGAUUUGAAGGUCUUCAUUGAGUUCACUAAAUAGUCCCUUCAACCAAAUAGCUUCUUUACAAGCCUCAGUAAUCGCCAUGUACUCAGCUUCAGUGGUAGACAAAGCGACUGUAGUUUGCAAAGUGACUUUCCAACUAAUUGCAGAACCUCCGAUUGUAAAGACGUAACCUGUGAAAGAUCUUCUUCUAUCAAGGUCUUCAGCAAAAUCAGCAUCAACAUACCCUAUAACUCAAUCUUUAGUUCUUCCAAACUGUAAGCAAACAUCAGUAGUGCCUCGUAAGUAUCUUAAAAUCCACUAAACUGCUUUUCAAUGUUCUUUACCGGGAUUUGCCAUAUAUCUGCUAACUGCACUGACUGCAUAUGAUAAAUCUAGACGUGAACAAACCAUAGCAUACAUGAGAGAUCCCACUGCACUAGAGUAUGGAACAUGUGACAUGUACUCAAUCUCAUCAUCUGAUUGAGGAGACAAGGCCGAUGAAAGUCUGAAAUGGGCUGCUAAAGGAGUACUAACAGGCUUAGCACUCUGCAUAUUGAACCUGCAAAGAACUUUCUCAAUAUACCCCUUCUGACUUAGGUACAAUUUACUUGCUUUUCUAUCUCUGAGAAUCUCCAUACCAAGUAUCUUCUUUGUUGGUCCUAAAUCUUUCAUCUCAAAUUCUUCACUUAGUUGGGCUUUAACCAUUCUUAUCUCUCAUUUAUCUUUUGCUGCUAUCAACAUGUCAUCAACAUAAAGAAGUAGAUACACAAAAGAACCAUCACUGUUUUUCUUAAAGUAAACAAAACUAUCUAAACUACUUCUUUUGAAAUCAUGAGAAGUCAUAAAUGAAUCAAACCUCUUGUACCACUGUCUUGGUGACUGUUUCAAACCGUAAAGGGACUUUCUCAGCAAGCAAACAUAGUCCUCUUUUUCUGAGACUAUAAAACCCUCUGGUUGUUGCAUGUAAAUAUUUUCCUCAAGUUCUCCAUGUAGAGAUGCAAUUUUUACAUCUAACUGCUCAAGCUCCAAAUCAUGCAUGGCCACAAUACCAAGCAAAGCUCGAAUCGAACUAUGCUUAACAACUGGAGAGAACACAUCUGUGAAAUCCACUUCUGGAAUUUGACUGUAACCCUUUGCAACAAGCCUUUCUUUAUAUCUGGGUUCUUCAACUUCUAGAGUCCCUUCUUUCUUUUUAAACACCCAUUUACAACGAACAACCUUUUUACCUUUAGGAAGUUUCACAAGGUCCCAUGUUCUAUUUUUGUGGAGUGAUUCCAUCUCUUCUUGCAUAGCAAACAUCCACUUUUCUGAGUCUUCACAGCUAACCGCCUCAGAAUAAUUAGAUGGCUCUUGAUUCGCAUCUAUAUCUUUAGCCACAUUUAAAGCAUAAGCAACUAGAUCAACCUCGGCAUACUUCUUUGGAGGUUUAAUUUCUAUUCUAGUUCUGUUUUUGGCGAUAGAGUAUUGUGGUGAAGAAGCAACUCUAUUCUCAAUUUUUGUUUUGGCUUCAAGAGUUGACUCUGUAUUAAUCUGAUGCUCCAUCUACUUUUGAUUUUCUUUAUUGGAAGAGUCUUUAAGAGAUAAGUUAGGUAGCAUAGCAGUUAUCAAAAACAACAUCUCUGCUAAUCACAACUUUUCUAUUUUCAGGACACCAUAACUUAUAUCCUUUUACACCAGCUUUAUAACCAAGAAAAAUGUAUUUAAUAGAUCUCGGUUCCAAUUUUCCAUUAUCAACAUGAGCAUACGCAGGAUACCCAAAAAUCUUUAAAUCAGAAUAAUUAGCAGGAUUACCAGACCAUACCUCUUGUGGAGUCUUUUUUUCAAUGGCAACGGAUGGAGAUCGGUUGAUCAAAAAACAUGCAGUAGAGGCCGCUUCUGCCCAAAAUGCCUUCGGUAAGUUGGCAUUUGACAACAUACAUUGAACCUUCUCCAUGAUCGUUCUGUUCAUUCGUUCUGCAACACUGUUUUGCUGUGGAGUAUGACGAACUGUCAAGUGUCUUAUGAUCCCUUCUGACUUGCACAAUCUAUUAAACUCAUCAGAACAAAACUCUAAGCCAUUGUCUGUGCGGAGGUAUUUUAUCUGUUUUCCCUUCUGUUUUUCAAUCAUAAUUUUCCAAGACUUAAAUGCGGAAAACACAUCGCUUUUCUGCUUCAGGAAAAACGCCCAAACUUUUUUGGAAAAAUCAUCAAUAAAUGUUAGCAUAUAAUUAGCUCCACCUCUCGAAGGCACUCUGGAUGGCCCCCACAGAUCAGAAUGAAUAUACUCCAACGUUUCCUUCGUGUUAUGGAUUCCUCUAGUGAAUCGAACUCUUUUUUGCUUCCCAAAAACACAGUGCUCACAGAAAUUCAGUUUGCAAAUUCCUUGCCUAUUAAGAAGUCCUCUUUUGCUUAAUUCUGUCAUGCCAUUCUCACUCAUAUGCCCUAGGCGCAUAUGCCAAAGUUUAGUAAUAUCAUCAUCUGACAAGGAAGAGGAAGCGACAGCUGCAUCACCAGUAACAGUAGAACCUUGUAAAACAUAUAACUUGGAAAUCUUUCUCUGCCGUUUCAUCACAACAAGGGACCUUUUGGAAAUCUUUAAAACCCCACUUUCAACCGUGUAUCUGUACCCUUUUAAAUCAUGAGUACUCAACGAAAUUAAAUUUCUUUUCAAUUCUGGAACAUGCCGCACGUCACUAAGUGUUCUGACAACUCCAUCAAACAUCUUAACUUUAAUUGUUCUAACACCUGCGAUUUUACACGAAGUAUUAUUUCCCAUCAAAACAACACCUUCAGAUACUAUUUCGUAAGUUGUAAACCAAUCUCAAUUGGGACUCAUGUGGAAGGUGCAGCCUGAAUCAAGUAUCCACUCCUCGCUUACUUUAGAAUCAUUGACAGAAGCGACUAGAAGUUCACCAUCGCUGUAGUCUUCUACAACAUCAGCUUCACCGGAAUUUUCUGGUUGUUUUCUCUUUUGAUUCGCAGCCUCCCUUUUAAUCUUAUUUUGUAGCUUAUAGCACUCAGAUUUAAUGUGCCCUUUCUUUUUGCAGAAGUUACAAGUUUUACCUCUAUUUGAAGACUUUGAUCUAACCUUAGAUUUACCACGAGGAUUCCGUUCCUAUGUCCUACCACGAUCAUCAUCAGCAUUCCAAUCUUGUCUACCACGAACAAUGAGACCCUCUCCCUGAGAGUCGGGUUUAACCACAAGAUGCUUCAUCUUAUCAUACGAGGUUAAAGAAUCAUAAACCUCAUCAACUGUGAGAGACUCGCGGUUAUAUAAAAUCGUGUCUUUAAAGGUUGAAUAAGAUGGGGCAACGAACAAAGUAGAACCAACCCUAUAUCUUCCUUAUCAUACUGAACCUCCAUGGCCUCCAAGUUUGAGAGAAUUUCUUUAAACACUGUUAAGUGUUCGUGCACAGACGCACCUUCCUCCAAACGAUGAGCAUAAAGACGUUGCUUCAUAUGCAACUUGCUUGUUAGAGUUUUCGACAUACAUAUUUGUUCUAGCCUCUUCCAUAAUGCAGCGACAGUUUUCUCUUUCAUCACAUCCUGUAAAAUUUCGUUGGACAAAUGCAGAUGUAAUUGUGUUAAUGCCUUUCGAUCCUUACGCUUCUUCUCUUCAUCUAUUAAUGUCGAAGGCAUCUUAUCUAUCCCUAGCAGGGCAUCCUCCAGAUCCAUCUGUGCAAGAACUGCUUGCAUCUUAAUUUGCCACAACGCAAAUCUGGUGUUGCGAUCCAACAGCGGAAUUUCAUACUUCAAAGACACCAUUACCGUGAUCGAGAUGAAUAACCAGUAAGCUCUGAUACCAAUUUGUGAAAAAUAAAAUAAAUAAAAUAAAGAACACACAAAUUUUACGUGGAAACCCUUUUGGGAAAAAACCACGGGCAGAGGAGAAGAAAAUUCACUAUGUCGAAAAAUUUGACUCAAAUACAAGAGGACUAGACUAUGUCUAUUUAUAGGCUUGCAAAACCAUAUUCUAGUAGGAUUAAAACACCUUAUCCUAAUCAAUAUAAAAUAGAUGGAGUUUAAUAAGGUUUAAAAACCUUAUUCUAAAAUAAAAUAAAAGAAGUCUAGUUCUAUAUGGAUUUUACUUUUAUUUUAUUUUUGAUCGUAUUUUAUUUAAAUAAGAAUUUGGGUCACUUAAUUCUAACACUUUUGAAUACGAACAUUAGAGAAAGGUUCAAUGGAGGUGUUGCUUGUAAUAGCCCGAUUUUAGGCUUAGUCGGAAUAGUGGUUUCGGGACCACAAAUCCGACGAAAAAAAAAAUGUAAUGGCUUGAAUUUUCAGAGGUGUCGGAACGGUGAUUCGAGAUCACUAAAUUCGACAAAUGGGUAGAAAAUAUUAUUAAUUUAGUAAGUAUAAGUUAAAUAUGAAGUUAGGAAAAUUUUUGAAAUAGUGAAUAGUGCACUAGAAAUAAAUAUUAAAAUAAUUAGAAUCGAAAUGAGGUAUCAAGACCUCGGGGAUUUUAAACUGAGCCAUAAAUAUUUUUAUAAAUAUUUAUGGAGUGUUAAAAAGUUAGUAUUAAAGUUUCGUUAAGAAAUUUUAAAGUUCCGAUAAUUAAUUGAACAAAAAGGACUAAAUUGUAACAAAUGCAAAAUUUUGAGAAAUGAUUAAAUAGCUUAAAUGAUAAAAGGAAGAGGGCUUAAAAAGCAAAUAGACCCAAGGUCUAUUUGGGCUGGACGGCAGAGGCAUGAAAUCAGCAAGAAAGUAAGGAGAAUUAAGGGCAAAAUUGGAAAAUUGCAAAAUUUGCUUAAUAAAGUUAGGACCCAAGUGGAAUUAUCUAGAUUUCUCUUCAUUUUUCUGAAUUCUCAUCAGCUAAAACACCAUGGAAGGGCUUCUUCAAGCUGGUUCUUCAUAUUUUUAUUACAAGUAAGUUCAAUUCUUGACUAUUUCUUGAAAUUUUUGUAUUUUUAUGACUUUUACAACUAGGCCCACUUGUUAAAUUCAUUAGUUUUUGAUUUUAUGAAAGAAGUUGAAAGUUGAUAUGAAUAUGUGCUGGAAGUAUAUGAUGAUUUAGCAUGAAAUUAGAGCUUUAAAUUGUUCAUAUGCUGAUUUUAUUGAAAGAAUUGAAUAGAAAGUGAAUGUUUGGGACCUAAUAGUAAAAGAGUUUGAAGAUAGAGUUAUAUGUGGAAAUUCUGAAUUUCAAUAGUUGUGUAACAACUUAUAAUGUCUAGUAAAGUACUAAUUGAGAAAAUUAGAUUAAUUGAGGGGUUAAUUGAGAAAGGACCGAAUUGUAUAAACUGUGAAAUUUGGGGCAAAAUGGAAAUCAACAUUUUGCACUAAAGCAGUUUUGGACAGCAGCAGUAGUGUAACUUUGAAAAAUCACCAAAAAUUGUAGAGAUUGAAUUAGAGGAUGAAUAAAAUAUGAAAUUAAAGCUUAUUGAGUCUAGUUUCUUAUAAAAGAAAUGAUGUGAGCAAUGGAAUUGUAAAUCAUGAGAUAUAAUAGAUUUUGUGAGACAAGGUCAGAAUGAAUUCGGGUUCCCCUGUUCUGACUUUGGAAAAUCAUUAAAAAUUGUACAGAAAUUAUUAUGAGUUAUAGUUUAUAUGGUUAGAAUCCUUAAUGAGUCUAUUUUUAGAAGAAACAAGCUAAAACAUCAUCCGAAUUCUGUACAAUGAGAUAAUUAAUUUUUAGUGAAGAGUGGUCGGAACUGUCAGACAGCGAAACAGGGGAAACUUUAAAGAAUAAACUGUACUAUUUGGCUGAACCAAAAAUUAUGAAAAUUUUAUGGUAUGAAGAUAUGUGAGUCUAGUUUCAUGGAAAAUUAACGGAUCUUAAUUUGGAGCUCUGUAGCUCCGGAUAAAAAUAAUUUAGUGACUCUGACUCGGAUAAACAGCUUUGAAUAUACAUGUUAGUGAAUAUUGAAAUUAUGGUUAAUGUUGUUUAAGUGUGUUAUACAUAUUAAGGAUGUGGAAUGGAGAGGAGGAGGAGGAAAAUUAGGAAAUAUAUGAAUGAUUCGUGUAUAAAUGGUCAUAUGUUUGAUUAUAACUCAUAAACGAUGAAAUAUGAAUGAUGCUUAUUUUUGUGCAUUAUUGGUCAUGGUUUAAGCUCAUGUGUGAAAAUAAAGUUUCAUAGUAUGUGUGUAUGGUAUAUUCAGUAUAUGAUUUGGCAUGAAAUAAUACCAUGAAUGGUUUAUGAAUUAAUACAUGUUGGUAAGCCUGAUAUAUGAAUAAAUGAUCAAAUUGAGCGGAACGCCGGAUUUGAGUACUUCUGAUCAAGUGACAAAGUGAUAAGUGAUAGCUUCAGCUACACUUAUCUGAUCAAGUGACAAGUGGAAAGUGAUAAGUGAUAGCUUCGGCUACACUUAUCUGAUCAAGUGAUAAGUGAAAAGUGAUAAGUGAUAGCUUCGGCUAUACUUAUCUGAUCAAGAGAAAAAGUGAUAAGUGAUAGCUUUAGCUACACUUAUCUGAUCAAGUGACAAAGUGAUAAGUGGCUACACUUAUCUGAUCAGGGACAAGUGAUAAGUGAUCAUACUUAAGACCAUAGUUAUACUAUGGCAAAGUGAAAGUGAAGUACUCAAUUUUCCGUGACCGUUCCCUAAUUUGAUUAAGGAUGGUAAGUGACAAAUGGGCCCAAAAGAAUUAAAGUAAAUGGAUAAGUGGUAGUGUAUUUAUAUCAGGACGAUGUUGUUAUUCAAACUAAAGUGAUAUUUUCAUUGCUAAAUUGAGAAUUUCAUAAAUGUGUUAUUGAAUGGUAUAAUCAAUAAACAUUGAGUUAAAUGGUAAAUACGUAUUAGUUUUGAAUUUGAUGUCAUUGAAUUGUACGUGAAUUAAAUGGAAAUUUCUAGUGAUAUGAUUUAAAUUAUGAGCAUGAGAAAUUGCGAAUUGAAUGAAAUGGAAAUGAAGCAUUAAAUUGCAUGAGUAUGUAUCGGGUCUCGCAGGCCCUAAUUAUUAUGAUUAUAAUAUUUUGAGGAUAUAUUGUGAAAAGUUAUAGAAACAUGUUAAUUAUUUUUGAAAGUUUUAAUUUUGAUGAAAUUUUAUAACUCGGUUAAAUACGUUUACAAGUGUAUGUGUUUUGGUAAUGCCUCGUACCCUAUUCCGGUGUUGGAUACGGGUAAGGGGUGUUACAUUUAGUGGUAUCAGAGCUACGGUUUAGUCGGUUCUCGGACCAAACGUAGCAUAUGUGAGCCUAGCUAUACAUGCCACGUUAUUACUCUUGAUGAUGUGAUAUCUCCGAGCUCUAACGAAAUUGCUUUGUUAAGACAGAGAUGAUUUUCAAUCGAGCUAUUUUCGAUAAUGCUAAAAAUGAUAUUGAGAUAAAUGAAAUAUGCUCACAUUAUGUUGAAAUUUGGAAAGGUAAGUAUAAAAAUUUGUGAUAUGGAUGUGUUCAUGUAUGAAAAGAGAUGACUAUAAGUUAAAAAAAAAAGUUUAUGUUGUGAUAAGCUCAUCCAAGUAUGUUGGUGAUUAUAUAAUGCUAUGUGCUCAACAUAUUUGAUUAAGUGAAUAUGAUAAGCAAAUUUACUUAAAUAGAUGGAACGUGUGUAUGUACAUCUGCUUGAAUAAGUGAAAUUAGUAUGUUCAUAUGAUAGAAUCUUAUGUUUAAUUGUUAAAUUAAAGAUAAUAAGAUAUUUUGUUUUAUGUCUAAACCAUGAAUAUUAUAAUAGUAUGAAAAAUUGAAUUGGAAGUCAAAUUGAGUAGAACGCAGGAAUGAGUACUUUCGUUCAGUGAUAUGUGAUGAAUUGACGGAAAAGACCAUGGUUUGACCAUGGCAACAUGUGAGCAUGUGAUUAUGUGAUUCCGUGUAAGACCAUAGCUGGGCUAUGGCAUCGGUAAGUGAUAUGUGAUUCCGUGUAAGACCAUAGCUGGGCUAUGGCAUCGGUAUGUGAUUUGUGAUUACGUGUAAGACCAUAGUUGGACUAUGGCAUCGAGAAAACGAAGUACUCAAUUCCGUAAGACGUUCUCUAAUUUGGCAAAUAUCGGUAAGUAAAAUAGAAGCCAAGUAUUGGAAUUUAAUUAGAUAUUAACAUUGAGCUUGAGUAAGUAAAUUCGUUGUGUGAAAUUGUGAGUGACAGAAAACAUUUGUAAUAAAUAGAUGUGUUAAUUUGCUUGGAAUGAAUUACGUGGUUUUGAUGGUAUUACAUUGAUGAUGAAUACAAAAUCAUAUAUAUAUAUCUGUAUCUCUGAGAGCAAGUUGAAAGAUUUAUGACUUCACCAUCACCCCCUUAUCAGUAUUGUUCUAUGACGAAAAUUAUCUUGAUGAGACAGAUAUGUUUUUCAACUGAGUUAAUUCUAAUAGUAUAGAAAUAAAUACUAAAAUGUUUGAGUGAAAAUGUAUUGAUUAUGAGUUGAAACUCAUAAAAGUAUGGAUCAAAGAAUAAAACAUUUUUUUUUUUGAUGAAUGUUAUAAUUAUACAAGCAUAUGAGUUAUGAUAUUUGGAUUAUGAUGCUAUAUAGAAAUUUUGAUUGUGAAUUAGUGAUUUGAAUUAGAAUUUUGUGUUGAGAACAAAAGUGAUUAAAAGCAAAUGUUUAUUAAAUGCUUUGAGAAUGUGAACUUAGUAAUGAAUUGGCUAUUUGUGAUGGUAUGUGUUAUGCGCAUUUAUGUGUAAGAUAAAUUUGAGGCUUUACUACACUCACCCCCAUAUUAGUAAAAUGUUACAAUGAAAUUUGUGAGAUUUUGGUUGAAUAAGCUUACGAGUGUAGUGUUACAGAAGUUCGUGUACGGAAGAAUAAUAAUGUGGUCGGAAAAGUGAAUGAAUUAGAAAAUGAGGACAAUAUAAAAAGAGAGAAAUAUUUGAUAGUUCUGAAAACUACUCAGAUUAUCAAAAUGGAUAUCAUUCUAUAUGGAUUGUAAUUUUUCGAUACUUUGUGUAGCUUCAGAUGCUGAAAUAUCGCUAUCCUGAUUUUCUUAUGAAUCUAUGUGAUUAUCUGUAAAAGAUAUGAAAAUCCAAAAUCAUGUGCGAAUUUGAAAUAUACUGUGGAAGUAAAUCAUUAACCUACCAUCUGGUAAGAUUUUCGGGGACGAAAAUCCCUAAAGGGGGGGAGAGUUGUAAUAGCCCGAUUUUAGGCUUAGUCGGAACAGUGGUUUCGGGACCACAAAUCCGACGAAAAAAAAAAUGUAAUGGCUUGAAUUUUCAGAGGUGUCGGAACGGUGAUUCGAGAUCACUAAAUUCGACAAAUGGGUAGAAAAUAUUAUUAAUUUAGUAAGUAUAAGUUAAAUAUGAAGUUAGGAAAAUUUUUGAAAUAGUGAAUAGUGCACUAGAAAUAAAUAUUAAAAUAAUUAGAAUCGAAAUGAGGUAUCAAGACCUCGGGGAUUUUAAACUGAGCCAUAAAUAUUUUUAUAAAUAUUUAUGGAGUGUUAAAAAGUUAGUAUUAAAGUUUCGUUAAGAAAUUUUAAAGUUCCGAUAAUUAAUUGAACAAAAAGGACUAAAUUGUAACAAAUGCAAAAUUUUGAGAAAUGAUUAAAUAGCUUAAAUGAUAAAAGGAAGAGGGCUUAAAAAGCAAAUAGACCCAAGGUCUAUUUGGGCUGGACGGCAGAGGCAUGAAAUCAGCAAGAAAGUAAGGAGAAUUAAGGGCAAAAUUGGAAAAUUGCAAAAUUUGCUUAAUAAAGUUAGGACCCAAGUGGAAUUAUCUAGAUUUCUCUUCAUUUUUCUGAAUUCUCAUCAGCUAAAACACCAUGGAAGGGCUUCUUCAAGCUGGUUCUUCAUAUUUUUAUUACAAGUAAGUUCAAUUCUUGACUAUUUCUUGAAAUUUUUGUAUUUUUAUGACUUUUACAACUAGGCCCACUUGUUAAAUUCAUUAGUUUUUGAUUUUAUGAAAGAAGUUGAAAGUUGAUAUGAAUAUGUGCUGGAAGUAUAUGAUGAUUUAGCAUGAAAUUAGAGCUUUAAAUUGUUCAUAUGCUGAUUUUAUUGAAAGAAUUGAAUAGAAAGUGAAUGUUUGGGACCUAAUAGUAAAAGAGUUUGAAGAUAGAGUUAUAUGUGGAAAUUCUGAAUUUCAAUAGUUGUGUAACAACUUAUAAUGUCUAGUAAAGUACUAAUUGAGAAAAUUAGAUUAAUUGAGGGGUUAAUUGAGAAAGGACCGAAUUGUAUAAACUGUGAAAUUUGGGGCAAAAUGGAAAUCAACAUUUUGCACUAAAGCAGUUUUGGACAGCAGCAGUAGUGUAACUUUGAAAAAUCACCAAAAAUUGUAGAGAUUGAAUUAGAGGAUGAAUAAAAUAUGAAAUUAAAGCUUAUUGAGUCUAGUUUCUUAUAAAAGAAAUGAUGUGAGCAAUGGAAUUGUAAAUCAUGAGAUAUAAUAGAUUUUGUGAGACAAGGUCAGAAUGAAUUCGGGUUCCCCUGUUCUGACUUUGGAAAAUCAUUAAAAAUUGUACAGAAAUUAUUAUGAGUUAUAGUUUAUAUGGUUAGAAUCCUUAAUGAGUCUAUUUUUAGAAGAAACAAGCUAAAACAUCAUCCGAAUUCUGUACAAUGAGAUAAUUAAUUUUUAGUGAAGAGUGGUCGGAACUGUCAGACAGCGAAACAGGGGAAACUUUAAAGAAUAAACUGUACUAUUUGGCUGAACCAAAAAUUAUGAAAAUUUUAUGGUAUGAAGAUAUUUGAGUCUAGUUUCAUGGAAAAUUAACGGAUCUUAAUUUGGAGCUCUGUAGCUCCGGAUAAAAAUAAUUUAGUGACUCUGACUCGGAUAAACAGCUUUGAAUAUACAUGUUAGUGAAUAUUGAAAUUAUGGUUAAUGUUGUUUAAGUGUGUUAUACAUAUUAAGGAUGUGGAAUGGAGAAGAGGAGGAGGAAAAUUAGGAAAUAUAUGAAUGAUUCGUGUAUAAAUGGUCAUAUGUUUGAUUAUAACUCAUAAACGAUGAAAUAUGAAUGAUGCUUAUUUUUGUGCAUUAUUGGUCAUGGUUUAAGCUCAUGUGUGAAAAUAAAGUUUCAUAGUAUGUGUGUAUGGUAUAUUCAGUAUAUGAUUUGGCAUGAAAUAAUACCAUGAAUGGUUUAUGAAUUAAUACAUGUUGGUAAGCCUGAUAUAUGAAUAAAUGAUCAAAUUGAGCGGAACGCCGGAUUUGAGUACUUCUGAUCAAGUGACAAAGUGAUAAGUGAUAGCUUCAGCUACACUUAUCUGAUCAAGUGACAAGUGGAAAGUGAUAAGUGAUAGCUUCGGCUACACUUAUCUGAUCAAGUGAUAAGUGAAAAGUGAUAAGUGAUAGCUUCGGCUAUACUUAUCUGAUCAAGAGAAAAAGUGAUAAGUGAUAGCUUUAGCUACACUUAUCUGAUCAAGUGACAAAGUGAUAAGUGGCUACACUUAUCUGAUCAGGGACAAGUGAUAAGUGAUCAUACUUAAGACCAUAGUUAUACUAUGGCAAAGUGAAAGUGAAGUACUCAAUUUUCCGUGACCGUUCCCUAAUUUGAUUAAGGAUGGUAAGUGACAAAUGGGCCCAAAAGAAUUAAAGUAAAUGGAUAAGUGGUAGUGUAUUUUAAAGUGAUAUUUCAUGCUAAUUGAGAAUUUCAUAAAUGUGUUAUUGAAUGGUAUAAUCAAUAAACAUUGAGUUAAAUGGUAAAUACGUAUUAGUUUUGAAUUUGAUGUCAUUGAAUUGUACGUGAAUUAAAUGGAAAUUUCUAGUGAUAUGAUUUAAAUUAUGAGCAUGAGAAAUUGCGAAUUGAAUGAAAUGGAAAUGAAGCAUUAAAUUGCAUGAGUAUGUAUCGGGUCUCGCAGGCCCUAAUUAUUAUGAUUAUAAUAUUUUGAGGAUAUAUUGUGAAAAGUUAUAGAAACAUGUUAAUUAUUUUUGAAAGUUUUAAUUUUGAUGAAAUUUUAUAACUCGGUUAAAUACGUUUACAAGUGUAUGUGUUUUGGUAAUGCCUCGUACCCUAUUCCGGUGUUGGAUACGGGUAAGGGGUGUUACAUUUAGUGGUAUCAGAGCUACGGUUUAGUCGGUUCUCGGACCAAACGUAGCAUAUGUGAGCCUAGCUAUACAUGCCACGUUAUUACUCUUGAUGAUGUGAUAUCUCCGAGCUCUAACGAAAUUGCUUUGUUAAGACAGAGAUGAUUUUCAAUCGAGCUAUUUUCGAUAAUGCUAAAAAUGAUAUUGAGAUAAAUGAAAUAUGCUCACAUUAUGUUGAAAUUUGGAAAGGUAAGUAUAAAAAUUUGUGAUAUGGAUGUGUUCAUGUAUGAAAAGAGAUGACUAUAAGUUAAAAAAAAAGUUUAUGUUGUGAUAAGCUCAUCCAAGUAUGUUGGUGAUUAUAUAAUGCUAUGUGCUCAACAUAUUUGAUUAAGUGAAUAUGAUAAGCAAAUUUACUUAAAUAGAUGGAACGUGUGUAUGUACAUCUGCUUGAAUAAGUGAAAUUAGUAUGUUCAUAUGAUAGAAUCUUAUGUUUAAUUGUUAAAUUAAAGAUAAUAAGAUAUUUUGUUUUAUGUCUAAACCAUGAAUAUUAUAAUAGUAUGAAAAAUUGAAUUGGAAGUCAAAUUGAGUAGAACGCAGGAAUGAGUACUUUCGUUCAGUGAUAUGUGAUGAAUUGACGGAAAAGACCAUGGUUUGACCAUGGCAACAUGUGAGCAUGUGAUUAUGUGAUUCCGUGUAAGACCAUAGCUGGGCUAUGGCAUCGGUAAGUGAUAUGUGAUUCCGUGUAAGACCAUAGCUGGGCUAUGGCAUCGGUAUGUGAUUUGUGAUUACGUGUAAGACCAUAGUUGGACUAUGGCAUCGAGAAAACGAAGUACUCAAUUCCGUAAGACGUUCUCUAAUUUGGCAAAUAUCGGUAAGUAAAAUAGAAGCCAAGUAUUGGAAUUUAAUUAGAUAUUAACAUUGAGCUUGAGUAAGUAAAUUCGUUGUGUGAAAUUGUGAGUGACAGAAAACAUUUGUAAUAAAUAGAUGUGUUAAUUUGCUUGGAAUGAAUUACGUGGUUUUGAUGGUAUUACAUUGAUGAUGAAUACAAAAUCAUAUAUAUAUAUCUGUAUCUCUGAGAGCAAGUUGAAAGAUUUAUGACUUCACCAUCACCCCCUUAUCAGUAUUGUUCUAUGACGAAAAUUAUCUUGAUGAGACAGAUAUGUUUUUCAACUGAGUUAAUUCUAAUAGUAUAGAAAUAAAUACUAAAAUGUUUGAGUGAAAAUGUAUUGAUUAUGAGUUGAAACUCAUAAAAGUAUGGAUCAAAGAAUAAAACAUUUUUUUUUUGAUGAAUGUUAUAAUUAUACAAGCAUAUGAGUUAUGAUAUUUGGAUUAUGAUGCUAUAUAGAAAUUUUGAUUGUGAAUUAGUGAUUUGAAUUAGAAUUUUGUGUUGAGAACAAAAGUGAUGUGAGGCCGUGUCUUAGGCCGUAUGGACAUUUGAUGUGAGGCACACAUCCGUGUCCCAGUUCAUGUCCAGAUUAGGGUAGCUAUUGACUUGGGUCACAAGGCCAACCAUACGGCCGUGUGCUAGGCCGUGUGCGAACUGCAGGGAUUACACGGCCAAGCCAUACGCCCGUGUGCUAGGCCGUGUGUAAAAACCUGGGCAUUCUGUUUUGAAAUUUUAAUGUGCAGGGGACACACGACUAGACUACACGCCCAUGUGUUAGGCCGUGUGUCAUACACGGCUAAGACACACAACCAUGUCUCUGCCCAUGUGGAUGAAAAUAGGCCAUUUUAAGGCUACUUUUCUCACCCUUUUAUUAUCCACCUGCAUAUAACAUUGAAAUACACUAAUAAAUCUCAACCAAGCAACCAAUUCAAGCCAAAACAUAUAUUUAACAUAAUAUGUUAACACAAAAAUCAAUUGUCUAAGUUUGCCAAACUAACUUCAUUUAUUGAUUUACCAAAACCUACUCCUAAUUAUAUACUUACAAACACACACACACACACAUACACACAUAUAUAUAUAAUUGUCAUUCAUAAUUAUACUUCAAGUUUACCCCUUUUCAAUCUAUCUCUAUACAUGCCAUAUAAACCAUAAAAUUUACAACAAAAUCUACUGGAGUAAUCUGGAUUGUGUGGCCCAAUGUGUUGAUCCGAUCCUUCAAACUUCUUGAAAAUCUACAAAGAACAUUGAACAAUAUAAGUAAGCUUAAUGAAGCUUAGUAAUUUCGUUGGCUUUAAAUAUAAAUAUCACUAAACAUACUAUAACAAUUCAUUUAAGUAAACCAUUCAAUAUAUUAUUCCUGCCAAUCACAACUUCACUCCAUGAAUUCACUUAUUUGAGCUCAACAUUAAUAAUAAAUAAAAUUCUUCCACAUUAAUUCUAUAUGGCACUUACCAAUCCUUGUCAAAUCAGAGAACGUCUUACGGAUUUGAGUACAUUAAAAAUAGAAACCCGAGGGCUGCACAGAAGCACAUAAGUGCUAAAUGGAAACCCAUAAGGGUUGAAUGGAAACUCAUUGAAGCUGAACGGAAACUCAUAAAGGUUAAACUGAAGCUCAAAACAGCUGAACUAAAACCCAGAAGGGUUAAACUAAAACUUAUAUGAGUUAACUAAAGCUCAUGAAAGCUAAACGGAAAGUAAACACCAGAGUUUGCAACAAAUGCUGAACCUUGGUUUACUUGGAUAAUUUUGCUGUCAAUUCCUCUUUUACACUGAACGAUUGUAUUUAAUCCUGCGUUCCGUUCACUACGAAUAUUUGAUCCAAUUUCAUAAUUCUUACAAUGGUUUUAUUUUCAACAAAUAAUAGGAAUAAAUACGUAUUACGAUUCAUAAAUUUAGCAAAUAACAUUAAAAAUUUAACCAUACAAAUACCUGGGUUAUAUGGUGAAAUUUGUAGUAGUUUUAGGGGCUAUUCUGCUAUUUUCUCUUUUUCCCUUUUGUCAACGGGCUCUUGAUCUAAAACGUAAAAUUAUUUAUUCAUUAGCACAUAUUUCAAUUCUAAUUCACUUCACAAUUCAUACCCUUAAAUUUUCAAAAUUUCAAAAUUACCCCAACUUUUACAAUUUUUACAAUUUAGUCCCUCAUUAAUAAACCCAUCAAAUGAGCUAAUUUUUCUCAAUUAACACUUUAUCUAAUUAUUUUAGGCUAUUAUACAGCCUUUGAUAUUCAAAAUUUUAACACCAAACCCUAACUCUUAACCUUUUCACAAUUUGGUCCUAAAAUCAAUAUCUAUCAAAAUUACUUAAUAAAAUCAUCAUAUAACAAAAUUUAAGCUUCAAAUCCAUGUUAAUUCAUCAUAAAUAUCCAGAAAUCAUCAAUGGUAACUUUAAAAAUUACCCAUAGAAUCAAAAACUAAUGAAAUAGAUAAUUGGACCUAAUUGUAAAAGUCUUAAAAACACAAAAAUUACAAGAAAAAAGCAAAAAUUGAACUCACAUGGUGAAAAUAUAUGAAAAACAAGCUUAGAGGGACUCUUUAAUGGCAUUUUUGGCUGAGGAAUUGUGAAGAAAUGUCUAGAUUUCUUUUAAUUUGUUGUUUUAUUUACUUAAUUUUGUAAAAUUUCCAAUUUUACCCCUAUUUCUCGUAAUUUCAGGUUUUUUUAUUUUUAAUGCCGCCCCAGCCAUACCCCUUUGGGCUAAUUUGCUCUUUUAAUCCUCCCUCAUUUAACACUUGAGCUAUUUAAUCAUUUUAGCAAGUUUUCCACUUUUUUUAGUUUAGUCCUUUUUAGUUAAUUAACUAACAAAACGUUAAAUUUUUCUAACGAAACUUUAAUACUAACUUAUUGACACUCCGUAAAUAUUUAUAAAAAUAUUUACGGCUUGGUUUAUGAAAUCGAAAUCUCGAUACCUAGUUUUUGAGAGUAAUUAACCUAAUAAUUCUUUUAAAUCACAAUUUCACUAAUUCAAUAAUAUUUAUAAAAUCAUAUCUAACUUAUAAUUAUUAAAUAAUAAAAUUUUCAAACUCACUCAUCAGAUUUAGUGAUCUCGAAUUACUGUUUCCGACACCACUGAAAAUUGGGUUGUUACAUCAAAGAGACCCGUUGAGCCCUUAUUAAUUUCUGUUAUGCAGUGAGGGCUUGUCGUGUAACACUCCUAACCUGUAUCCGUUGCCGAAUUAGGGUUACGAGCUAUUACCGAUCAAAACACAGUUCAAAACAGGCAUUUAUUACAAUUCAUGCUUCGUGAUUCAACCACAUGAAUACUCUUAUCCUAUUUAAAAUUUCAAGUCCUAAAUAUCAAUUCAUAUCAUAUACCGAACAUAUGUCAAAGCAACUAUUUUAUUAGAUGAAUAUCAAAACAUUUCAUAACUUCUGCACAUGCGCAUACUAAAAAACAAAUUGUACAUGCUCCAUAGUUACCAACAUUCGAACCAUAUGAUCAUCAAAUAACUAUGGUAUUCGAAUACCUAAUUAAAGAUCAAGCAUAUUUUAUUUCAUAUAUCAAUCAAAUAAAAAAUAAUUUAAGUUAACUAACAUACAUCAAAAUCAUAUUCCACUGCUCGAAUUAUGUGAGCAUUUCAUUUAUGGCAUUCCACCAAUCAAAUUAUAACUAACUUAUUACAAAACAGUUUCAUGUGCACUAAACCUUAGUAUCAAUAACCAUUUCCAAGCACAAAUGUUGAAACUAACAUAUCAAAUUAUAACCUUUGCACAGUUGCAUAUUAAAACAAUUUGGCCAUAUUACACGACUAAAUAUCCAUUAACAAUAAUGAAAAUAGCUAGCAUUAUCACAUGACCAAAUAUACCACUUUUCACAUUACACAAGUUUAUGCGCAUAUUACAACCAUUCAAACAUCAUCUAUUCGGUCAUUAAUACAACAUACAAAUGAUUCAUACCAUUUCUAUAUGACUUAAUAAUUUACCAAUUGACCAAAUCUCAUUUAUAAAAGAAAAUAACCAACCUAAGCACUUCUCACUUGAUUAAUAAUAGUCAUUUCAUAAGUAUUAAUGCUGAAUCAAGACAUGCCAAUUUCCCAUGUUAUAUAUCAUAUUAAAAUGUCAUAUACAAGACCAAUUCGUCUUUUAUCUAUUCAGCUAGCAAAAAUUAACUUGUACACAUUUGUUGAUUGUCAAUUAACAAUCGAAUCUAUAUAGCCAUUUCACAUACAAUACAUACUUAUUAUUUUACCUUUUACUAAGCCAAAUUAUAAAAUCAUACUUAACCUUUUUCAUUGCCGAAACAUAUAAUCAACACCUCAAACAUAUAUACCUUGAGAUAUACUUCCAAUAUAAGCUUAAAUCAUGACCGAAUACACACAACUAUUAACAUCAAGUCAAGCCAUUUUCGCAUGGCUAUAAAUACAAACUUCAAUACCAACCAUAUCAAAACUAGCCUAUACAUGCCACAUAUCCAAAUCUCAAAGCAUUUAUUUACCAAAAUGAUAACCAAAUAGUGUGAUGACGUCUCCAACUACUUCUAACCCGAGCAAAACUCCAAAACUUUAUAAACAUAGGAAAAAUACACAGAAUAAGCUUUUGAAAGCUUAGUAAGUCAUAAGCAAAUAAAUCAUUUCAAUGAUAUUUAUAAAUCAAUAUCACUAAACCGAAUUAACAAAUCUUAAUCAUAUAUACAUUCAUUGUACCCAUAAAUUCAUAUAAACAUAUUAAAUGACUUUACUUAUCUUAUUUAUCAAUGAACGUAUAACCAUGCUUUCAAAUUCGAAUAACAAUCGUUAGCUCAAUCAUAUAAAUCAAGCUAGCACAUGUUCAAUACAUUACCAACCAAACCAUGGUCAUUUAUUACAAAUGAUAUACAAAGUUAUAUCAACUUCUUUAUAAACACUUCCAAAAUCGAACAUCCAUAAGUCCCUUAUUCAAAUAAACCAAAUUCGCAUGCAUAAAUUAUUUAGCUAACCAAGAUAAACUUUAUUUUAAUUUCAUUGUCUGUUCAAGUUAUCGAACCAAGCAAUCAUACAUCAAAGCCAUGUUUUAUGUUUCUUAAAUCUCAUGUCCGAAACAUAGGGCCACAAUUUCAUAUAACAAGCAUAUAUAACACAUCGUUUAUUAUCAUAAAUUUCACAUAUUGUCAUUUGAAUUAUACUCAAAUUUCAUAUUAGAAUUUCAUAAACAAAUCACAUGUACCUAAAUCAUAUAUGGCAAAACACAAUUACAAUUCCACAUUUCUCAUAUAAUUCAUUUGAUCAUAGUUCACUUGCUAGUAUCCACAUCUCAUUUUGACAUAAAUCAUAUAUCAACUGAUCAUAAUCAUACUCACUUUCAUUGCUUAAUUAUAUAUACAUCACAACAUACCUGAUUCGGAUGCACAUUCACAUACUCAUUUAUUUCUCGAAAUGCCCGUUGAACUGUCUGAAAUCUAUGAGGAUACUCGGAAUACUCAUAAGCUCGUACAAUGCCAACGUCCUAGACGUGGUCUUACAUGUAAUCAAAUAUCGAUGCCACUGUCCCAGACAGGGUCCUACACGAAAUCAUAUAUGAUGCCAAUGUCCCAAACAUGGUCUUACACGUAAAUCAAAAAUUGAUGCCAACGUCCCAGAUGUGGUCUUAUACGACAACACAUAUCGGAAUCCUAUGUAAUGACAUAUGUAUCCUAACUAUUCCUAAGGUUCCUAUGGGGCUUUCGGACGUCGUAACUCGAUCGAUUUAAGCUCGUAAAUAUUGCUCCCAUGCUUAAUUCAAUUUGGCAUAUACAUAUACAAAAUUAAUAAUUCAAUUCGGCACUAUUAAUAUAUAUACAAUUGAAUUUAAUGACAUUUAUUUACUUAUGAACUUACCUUGUUCUAACACGAACGGACCGGAACGACUAUUCGACAAUUUUCGACUUUCCCAAAUCCAAAUUUGAUUUCCAUAUUUCUUGAUCUAAUUCAAUACAAAUUCAACUUAUUUAAUCAUAUAUUCAAUCAAAUUUAUCCAAAAACACAUAAAUGGACUAAUUACACUUUUACCCCUAACAUUUCACGAUUUUUACAAUUUAGUCCUUAUUUCACAAAACACAAAAUAUUCAAAAUUUGACGACACCCAUGCUUGGCCAAAUUUCACUAAGGUCCCUAGAAGCCCAUUUCUUUCAUUUAUUUCACAUUUUGACCCCUUAAUUUACAAAUUUCUCAAUUUAGUCCUUAAUACACAUUUUUAUCAAAAAUCACUUAAUUGAACAUAAUAAUCUAUCAAAAAAGAUUUAUUUUUCAUCAUCAAACAAAAAAUUCAUCACAUUAUCAACAAUGGAAAAUCUCAAAUUCUUCAUUAAAUUUGAAAAUUAAGGCAUGGGUUUACUACUAUUCGAAGCAUCGAUAUCAAAAACGUAAAAAUUAUCAAAAACCAAGCAAAACACAUACUAGAAUUAAGCUUUAAGAGUACCGAACCUAAAACAACAAAAAUGGCUUCUUUGUUCUUCAAGUUUCGACAAAAAAAUGAAAAUGCAUGGCUAUUUUAUGUUUUAUUUAUUUAAUACAUAAUAAUACAUCAUUUACAUUUUUAACCUUUAUAAAUUAAUAUGAAAACUUUAUAAUGGUUGUCCACAAUCGUCCAUGCUAUAAUUAAAUGGCAUAAUUUCAUUCUAAGGCCUCCACCUUUAAAAGAACAUAGCAAUAUAGUAAUUUAACAAAUAGCAAGUUAUUUUUGUAUUUUACGCGAUUAAGUCCUUUUUAUAAAAUCGAGUACACAAAUGAUAAAAUUUUCAUACGAAAAUUUCACAUAUCAAUUCACAUACUUUAAGCAUAGAAUAUAAUAUUAAAAUAUUUUUCUGACUCGAAUUCAUGGUCCCGAAACCACUGUUUCGACUAGGGUCUAAACCUGGCUGUUACAUGUCGUCUUUAAUGAGAUUAGCCCAGGAGGAAGGUUUAUUAAAAGGGGUUAAGGUUUGACGUAGAGGUCUGCAAAUAAUAAAUUUUAAGUUUGCAGACGAUUAUAUUUUAUUUGGGGAGGCAAAUGAGAAUAGGGCCAAUGUUCUCAAAAUCAUUCUGAAGGAGUAUGAAUGGUGCACUGGAUAAUAUGUCAAUUUUGAGAAGUCUACAGAUUUUUAUAGUUCAAAUGUUAACGAUCAAGAAAGAAAUUUAGUGGCAAAUAUUCUUGAGGUUAGGAGUUUUGAAAAUUCAAAAAAAUAUUUGGGGCUUCCCAAUAUGGUGGGACAAGCAAAACAUGGGGUGUUCCAAGCUUUAAAGGACUGCAAUUAAAGUAAAAUUGAUAGUUAGAGCACCAAGUUUUUAUCAAAGGGGAAAAAAAAGAGGUUUAUAUAAAAUCCAUAUUGCAAGCAAUUUCGACAUAUUCUAUAUCUUGUUUUCCUCUCCGAAAAUCUCUUUUUGUGGGAAUGAAAACUCUUGUGGGAAAUUUUUAGUGGCAGAAAAGUCAUGGAAAACGUGGGAUUCGCUGGUGUGAAUUAAAAGAAAGUAGAGCUCUUGACUUUAGGAGGUUAACCAAGUUUAAUUUAGCACUAUUAGUAAAACUAGGAUGGUGAUUAAUUUAUUAUCCUAAUUUCUUCAUUGCGCAUUUCCUAAAGGCAAAAUGUUAUCCGUUGACAGAUUUUAUUAAUGCAGGUUUAAGUAAUUUACCUUCUUAUACCUGGCAAAGUGUGUGGGCUGCCAAUGAGUCUCUUAUAGGUGUGCUUGUGCUGGCAGGUGAGUACAGGGACUUCUAUCUCGAUAGUGGAAGAUGCUUGGGUACUAAGAAGUGUGGACGAUAAAAUACAAGAUUUGAUUAGUCUAUAGGAUUUUAGGUUAGUAGUUAAUAUGAUAGAGCUUACUACUAGAAGAUAGAGAGUUGAUCUAAUUACCAACACCUUUAGUUAAAGGGAUGCAAAAAGAAUUCUUCGUAUUCCAUUGGAUAAGGUAUGGAGAGGUGAAGCAUCAAGUGAGUUUUGUUUGUAGUGGUUAUAAGCUUCUAGUACAAGGACUCACAAAUCUUAAUGCCAGUUACAACUAGAACACGAAAGAGAAUCUUUAUAAGAAAAUAUGGCUACUAAAUCAACCACUAAAAAUAAAAAUUAUAACAUGGAGAAUAGUCUGUAAUUUUUUUCCUGCAUUUAAUAAUCUAUGUCACAAAAGGCUGAUUGAAACGAUAGUUUGUCCUAGAUGCGAAGAAGAGACAAAAACAACAGAACAUGUAAUGCAUGAGUGUCGAAUUACAAAAGAGGUAGAAACAAUAGAAAUGUGCUUCAAACUAUUGCAGACACGGGAAAUAGAGAAUGAAUUGCCUACAUUUUUAACAAAUUUGAAAAAUCAGUGUAGAGUAUUUACAUGUGCUCUAUAUGUAACACCCCUAACCCGUAUCUAUCACCGGAAUAGGGUUAUGAGGUAUUACCGUAUAAUACACAUCAUUCAUAUACAAUUAUGCAUUCAUAAUCAAUAUCCAUUCAACUCAUCCACAUUGUCCAUUAUAAGGUCCUACGAGACCUUAAAACAUGCUUAAAAGUGGUUCGGGACUAAAUCGAUAACAUUUGCAAACUUUUGGAAGCUUAUAAAAUUUUCAAUCAUUCACAGGUCACACGCCCGUGUGAACAAGUCGUGUGCCUCACACGGCCACCAGACACGCUCGUGUAACAGAUCGUGUGAAAACAGAGCAUACGUACUGAGUUGUGCCCCACGGCCGAUAACACGCCUGUGUGCCAUGGCUGUGGGAAAACUAGAGGGGUUACUGACUUGGGUCAUACGGCCAGUCAUAUGCCCAUGUGCCAGCUUGUGUGCCACACACGGCCAAUAGAUACGUCCGUGUGUCUAGGUCGUGUCAAACCUGUAGGGUAUAUUGACUUAAAUUCGAAAGGUACCCUAGGAGACACGCGACCGUGUAGCAUGACCGUGUGUCACACACGACUGAGACACACGCCCGUGUCUCUGCCCGUGUGGACAAAAAUAGUCUAUUUGCAAAGCCAAUUUGCCACUCUUUUCACAUAUACCUUCAUAUGCUCAUAUGGUACCAACUUAAGUCACAAUUAUGCAACCAAAACUCAUCAAUCAAUACACAAAUCCAAUAUUUCAAGCAUAUCAUUUCACCAUUUCUAUCCAUUACCAAAACAAUCUCAUAAUCAUCAAACCAUCUCAAUUUCCAUAAUAAACUUGCCAAUCAUAUAGCCAAAUAUAUAUAUAUACCACAAACACAUAUAUGAACACAUAUCAUAAGCCAAAUUGACAUUCAAUAUUACCAACAUUCACAAGUCAACUUAUAUGACCAAACACACACCAACAUUUAUAAGCCAAAUCAAAUGACUAAUAUCACAAUUCAAAGUACCUUAACUAGCCUAUACAUGCCAUAUACCAAAUAUUCAUAUAUAAAAAAUACCAACUUAGGUGUUUGAUAGUACGAUGAUACUCCCGGCGACUCUUAGAUCUAAGCUAGCUUUAAUUAUCUAUAAAACAUAGACAAAUAACACACAGUAAGCUUCAUAGCUUCGUAAUUUCGUAAGUGAAUAACUCAAUUUAUCAAUUAAAUAUAAUUUAACUAUUUUCACAUUACCAAAUCAAAUUCAUAUUAACCACAAACCUUUCUCAUGUCUCAAACAUGAUUAAAUAUCAUCUUAUUGAACUUUCUCAAUCUAAUACUCGAGUAGGUUUCGUACGUACCUGUAUCACCUCAUACUAACCUCUUUCUCAACCACGUCAUUUCUUUUACCCGUUGAACCAUUUGGAAUAGAAAUCAGAUACUCAAGAUCUCAAUCGAUAAGUACCUAUACAAUGGCUCGUGGCCAAAUCAAGGUAACUUAUCCCGGAAUACCUAUACCAUGGUAGCCAAAUCAAGGUAACUCCUCAUUGAAAUACCUAUACCAUGGCCCGUAGCCAAAUCAAGGCAUCACUCGCACCCGAAGUGCCGAUAUUAUGGCCCGAAGCCAAAACCAUAGCCUAAUGACAUGUCAUUAGCAUCCUAACUAUUCCUAAGGUUUAACCGAGAAGUUUCACUUAUCAAUUUCAUUGUCGAACACAUCCGUAUAGUCGUAUUCACAAUUCAAACAUUAUACAUAAUCUCACAAUCACGUCUUAAGCAAUACCAAAGCAUAUAACAUAGACUUAUAACGAAAUUAUCAUAUACGAACUUACCUCAGUCGUAGAAACAACGAAACUAGCCAAUUAAUCGAGUACUUUGUUCUUGCAUCGAUCUAAGUUCGAGUUCCUCUUUUCUUGAUCUAUAUAAUAUCAAAUUCAACUUGUUUAUUCAGCCACACAUUCAAUUUAAUCCAAAAAUAUCUAUUUGGGAAUUUUUUCAAUUUACCCCCUAAAGUUUCACAUUUAUUCAAUUUAGUUCUUAUUUCACAAAAACACAAAUUACACCAAAUUUGACAAAACUCAUGCUUGGCCGAAUUACCAUAGUGCUCCUAGCAGCCCAUAUUUCACAUUUCAACUACAUAAUUUACACUUUUCACAAUUAAAUCCCUAAAAUGCAUUUUUAGCCAAAAUCACUUAACAAAACAUAUUAAUCUAACAUUUAUCUUCCAUUUUUCAUCAUCAACCAUCACAAAGCACAUAGAUUCAAUAAUGGCACUUCACAAAAUUAUCAGCCAAUUCAAAAAUUAAGACACGGGCUAGCCAGAACACGAAGUAACGAUCACAAAAAUAUAGAAAUCAUAAAAAAACAAGCUCAAAACAUGGCUUAAUCAAGAACAAAAAACCUUCAAAGCUUCCAAAACCCUUAUUUUCUUUCUUAUUUCAAUUGAGGAAGAUGACCAUUAAACAUCAAAUUGUUUUUAUUUUAAUUAAUAUAACUUAAUUACAAAAUGACAUAAUUACCCUUAAUGAUUAAACAUUAAAAUUCCACUAACUAUAGGCAUAAUUGUCCAUCCAUUAUUCAGAUGGCUUAAUAACAUCAUAAGGACCUCGCAUUUAAUUCAACCAUAGCAAUUAAACACCUUUAUCAAUUAGAAUACAAAUUUUACAUUUUACGCGAUUUAGUUUUUUUACCAAAUUAAGCUCUCAAACGCUAAACUUAGCUCACAAAAUUUUCACACAUGCGUAAUCACAUGAUAUAAACACCAAAAAUAAUAUUAAAAUAAUUUUUUGACCUCAAAUUUAUGAUUCUGAAACCACUGUUCUGAUUUAGCUAAAACUAGGCUGUUACAUUAUAGGCAAUUUGGACGGACAUAAAAAAAUGGGUGCACGAAAGUGAGAAAAAAGAUGGAUUAGUCACUGAAAACUUUAUUAAGAACUAUCUUAAAGAGUUGGAUAAUCUAAGCAAUAAGUUACUGGAGAUGAAGGAGGUGACUGAGUGAUGGAAGAUACCGAAAAACCCAUGCGUUAAGUUAAAUUUUGAUGCUACAUACAGAAAUCAAGAAAAGAGCUUAUGUUCUGGUAUUGUUAUUAGGAAUUCAAGAGGAUAUGUGAUAGACUCAAAAACAGUGAUUAAUGAAAACAUACCUUUGGUGUUUGCGACUAAAGCGUUGGCUUGCAUCCAAGCAAUGCAGAUGGAUUUGGAUCUAGGUAUAACGGUGAUGGAGGUCGAAGAGGAUUUACUGACUGUGGUAAAGAAGGCUCAGAUGGAUGAAGAAGAUAGAUAUGAAAUCUCAGCCUACAUAAAGAUGCAAAGAGUUUAAGUAAAGAAUUUCAUACUUGUAUUUUUCAUGUAUGCAUCUAGAUCAACCAAUAGAGUGGCUCAUUUGCUAACAACGAAGGGAUAGAAAGGAUGGAACAGACUUAUCUAAUGAAUGGAGUGCCCAGCAUUGACCAACGAGGACAGAGACUCUGGGUUGAAGGGAAUAGACUUAUCUAAUAAUAAUACAUAUUUUAUUACCUUCACCAAUUAUAAAUCUUUAUUAUUAUUUAAGCUCUUUACUGAAUUGGUGUCACUAGUUAACCUUGCCCCAACUUAGGAAAAUUAAAAAAUAUCUUUUCAUAAUUAAAGUAAGUUUUAUUAUAUGAGUGUAUUUUAAUCUUUUUAUUUUUUAAAAACCUAAUAAAAAUUUUACAUGUGAUUAGAUUUGAACAUGUGCUAUUUACAACAACAACACAUUAUUUUGCCAUUAAAUAUUCAAAAUUUUAUUUUAAUAUAAUAUUUUACAUUUUAAUUGUAUCAUACAUAUUCUAUUACUUUCAUUAAUUGCAACAACAUCAUGAUAAACUAUUGUAGUGCAUUUAGCCCUUCACUAACUUGGAUAAUACAUUUCAGAGCAUUCGAACUCACGCCAUUCUACAGUGAUAACAAUAUCGAUACCGAUUAAAUUAAGACUAAUUGACAACAAUUUAUUUUUUAAGAUAAAUAACAGUAUACUUUAAAAUAAGUAUCAUCCUCGACAUCUUUUUAUUAAAUAGUCAAGGAUUGAACGGUGAAUAUUCUAAUAAGUAAAAACGGACUAUUUCGUAAAAAAGAAAAAAGGUUUUUGUAAUGUUUUUUUCUUUUGGCAGUAUAUGAUAAUGGUUCAAAAAUCCUAUCUUUUUAGGUAGUGGGGCACAAAAUGUGGGCCAAGAACAUAUUUAAAGAUUAGAGACAAACUUCAAUGUUGUGGAUGCCUCAUCGUCUUAUCACUACUGUUUUAUAAAUAUUUUUCUUAAGAAUUCCACUCAUUCUAUUUUGCAGUAUCUGAUUUGAUGUAAUUCUUAACUCAGUGUCGAGUGUUCUUGGUCUAGGUUUAACUUAGUAAGGCUACGUAUUCAACUGCAACACCAAAAGGAGUAAAUUAAGGACGGGUUAACCUUUGAACUUCUCGGGUUCUCUUUUUUUAUCGGUAACUCGAAACGCAUUCUGGAUAUCAUCCUCCAAUGGCAGAAAAACAGACCCCUGAAUCAAUCCCUCGCAGGAUCACAGCCCCCUUCCCUAAUUUAUCAUCCAUGUAUGUAUAUAUAUAUAUUUCAAGCUAUAACUAUGUAUUUUCAAGGUGUUUCUUCUGACGUUAUUAAUGAAGGUUCCUAAAUUCUAAUGCAGGUGUGAUCCAAAUUUCGUGGAGCACGCAUGGGAAAAUGAUCAAAAUCUGAUUCGAGGUUUGUCGUCGAUGAUGCCUAAAAAGAAUUUCCCAGGCUCUGGCUAUUUUUCUCAAUCUUCUAAGGCUCGAAUUCAACAUGAAGGAGAAACCCCUACGGUGAAUACAUCAAAGCACUGGGUUGCAGAUUCCACUAGUACGUAUGGCGAUCCAUUAUCCAGUAUCGCUAAAACGAAUCGCCUUAAUCAUCAUCAUCAUGAGAAUUACAUAACUUCUCUGCAAACUGGGUACCGGGAACUACUAUUCGAGGAUGGUUUCAAUGUUGCCUUGGAAGCAGACCAAAAAUGCUACGAUCAGCAACUCCUAGAUUCCAAUAUUGUUCCUACAAACAAAUACAAGAAUUUUAAACAAAGCAACGUGCUGGACGUGCCCGAGCUCGUACACGAGAUUCCUCAACAAACUAUGAAUAACGAUAGCCAACUACCACAGCCACAACCCGAAACUUGUAUUCCAUUUAUGAGAUCAAAGGAAAAAUAUUCAAGGAUCGAUGAGCAAAGUGAGAGGGCGAACUGUUCCAUCUUCUUAAACUCUCCAGCUCUUCCUAAAUCUAGCCAGAUUCCAUGCUGUGGUGUAACAAUACCAAGGAGCACUCCAGGUUUAGCUGUUGAAGAAGAUGAUGAUUUAGAAGCCAACGCCAGAUCUGUUCCUUUCGCAAAAGAAGCAAAAUCCAUGAGGCUAAUAUUACCAGAUUAUGAGCCUGAAAAGGAGUGGGUUGUUCCUGAUGAGCAGUCCGAAGCCGUUGGCUUUAACGAUAAUAUGAGGCUUCCGUCUUCUAGGGUUGGUGGUACAUCUUCAGGCUUGGCACCAAAUACAAUCAUGAAAGGAAAAGUUGUCGAGCAAAAGGUUGCAUCGUCUUCAGUGUGCUCGCGUGGGGCUUCAAAUUGUCCAGUUAACACUUUUGAAAGGAGAUAUGAAGAUACUGAUCUCAGUGAUGUAUGUAAAGCUUUUGUCACAGAUAUUUUUCAAUUAGCUUUAAUUAAAUCGAUCGCUUUUUAACUGAUUCCAAGCUUAAAGGGUGCUCGUAUAUGGUGCAGAAUGAUGAAUUGGAAGAAGCUCAUGAGACGACAAAAGCAACGCCAAGCAAAGGCUCUAAGAGAAAGAGAAAAUCUGAACUUCACAAGCUAUGUGAUAGGGUAUGCACAGCCAACCAUUAAAAACAAAAACAAAAGUAAUUUAGGACUUUGAAAAAGCAAACUAAAAUCUUAUUUUUGGGUCACAGAGGCGAAGGGAUAAAAUCAAUGAAAAGAUGCGUGCAUUGCAAGAGCUCAUUCCCAAUUGUAAUAAGGUCAGCAAAUUAUCCUUCAUCACUCUGUCAUUUCCUUAAUAAAGAAGGCUUAAUGUGUUCCAAAGUUUCGACAAUUAUCUACCUGGAUCUUCCUCUUGAUUGCUCUUUGUGACUGGUUUUCUUAGGUGGAUAAAGCUUCAAUGCUUGAUGAAGCAAUUGAUUACUUGAAAACGCUUCAGCUCCAAGUCCAGGUAAAUCAGUUGUUCGAUUACUGUAUAAAACAUGGUUUCUUUUAGGUGUCAAAUAAGACCUUUAACAAUGGGAUCUUGCAUUUGGAACAGAUGAUGUCAAUGGGAACUGCUGGCGUUUAUAUGCCUCCAAUGAUGUUACCAGCUUCGUCAAUGCAACAUAUAAAUGCACGACAAUUGGGUGGUUACUCUCCCAUGGCCAUGGGAAUGGGAAUGGGAAUGCAAAUGGGUCUAGGCUGCACAACAGCAACACAAUUUCCAUCCAUAACUUCACUAAUGCCUGGGAUCAUGCAAGCUAGAUUUAACAUGCUUGGCCUCCCUCGCCAAGUUUUAUUAAUGUCGCCUUCACCUUUCGCAUCCUUGGCUGCAACAUUUCCCCCACAAUCGGUCCGAACCUCUUCCGUUUCUCAAGCUCUUGCCGCUGUUCCUCUGUCUACAUCAAAGGAUUCAAACCCAACACUUCAACUAAAAAAAAAGAAAUGCUUAAUGAAGAGUUAGCAAAUCAAUUUGUAAAAAGCCUCAGGUCUCCCCACUCACAUCAGACUGACCACCUGCCCAUUUUUUAUAAUUUCAUUUUCCUAUCUUGAUUUGUAAGUAGAUUUACGUAAAAUUUCAACUAAGGAUAAAAGUUAGAAAGAAUAGAACAACAUAUAAUAAUUCCUAUGGGUGGAUAUAUUAUGGUUUAAGUCUAAUUGAAAGGUAGCAAUCCAUACAAGUAGGGAGGAAAACUAAUUAAUUUUAUCUCCCUUAUUAAUAUCGAUUAUUUACAUUUUUAAAGUUUAUAUUUAUAAUCAAUCAUAUAAUAUAUGUUUUAACACAUUUAGAAAAAAGGUUCAAUUUUCAUCAAAUAUUUUUAUGACAGUUAUCAUGAUAUUUUCACAAUUUAAAAGAGCAAGGAUUAAUUCUUUUUUGUUCAUAUAGGGUUGAAUUUCCCUCUUAAAUUAUAAUAUUAGCUUAAAAAGAGUAAGCUUUAAUCGUAAAAAAAAAAUAAUUAAUUAAAAUUAUAUUUUAAAAUGUAAAUAAUAAAAUUAAUGAAAGGAAAUUUAGUUCAACAAACUAAAAAAACCUAAUCAUCUUAUAAUUUCACUUUUCAAGAAACCCAAUAAUAUCAUGCCACGUCAUUUUUUUAAGAAUGUAUAAAUAAUAUAAUAUAUCAAGAAACUUCAAUUUUUAAAAUUAAUUAGUCUAGGAUAUGAUUAUUUAAUUUUGCUUAGAGUUUGUUAUAAUGACACUUAGAACGAAAAAGGUUGUGUAAUGAAAAUUAAGAAAAGAAAAGAAGCAACACAACAAAUAUUUGUUUACACAAUUCAAACAUAAAGGUCUUAUGUCUGUGGAGCCUCGUUCAAAUCUUUUAUUCAAUCACCAAUUGAUUCAAUAAUACACUUUCCUUAUUAGCUAAAGCUCUCAAUUUCUUCUCCAAGUAAGUGUAUGUGUCACGGGGCUUGACUUUUAGUCUCGCAAUUCGUACAACCUUAGAUGUUUCUUUCGUUUCAAAUAUUACUAAGUUAGCCUAAUUCUCACAAAGUGCUGAUUCUUGCAUAAUUCCUCAAAGGCACCAAUUUAUAUAGUGGGAGCAACACAAGCUAAAAGAAUAUUCAAAAGAACAUAAUAGCCACAGAAAAACAAUGCACGAGAGGUGUUUGAGUAAAUGCUCUCAAAGAAUUCUAUUACUCUAAGAUACAAUGUAUACUUUACAAUUGAGGAGGAGACUCUCUAUUUAUAGUUUAGCUCCCCUAAA
rnacentral:lncRNA from 1 species